UAGGCGGCGCUGCCCGUCAGAUCUGAGUUCCCCGUUCCCCUUCGCUCCUUUUCCUACCGCCUGACUCUGCAGCAAGUCAUACCUAUACCUAUCAGUAUUAGUAUAUGUCGCCGUAGUGUUCCCGUGCUUCUCGUAGGAAGAAGAAUCGACGAUGCGAGCUUGGUUCCAGAAGUAUUGUUGGUGGAUUAUUGUUCGUUCGAAGUUAUCUUGUCGUGUCGUCUGAUGUGGACAGACUGAUCUAUCUCUAUGUAUUGGAUGGACCGAAGUUAUGCAAGUCUAAGUUAUGCUGUCUGAUUAUUGAUCUCGAUGAAACUUGCAUAUCAUUUUCAUUUUCCUAAAACAAAAACAGUUUAUUUUUUUCAUUUUGUGAAGUGUCAGGUUUCCAGUUGUUGGAUCUUUGUGUGCAUCUCGGAGCGUGCUCCUCUGUGGUUGUACAGGCUUGAUUGUUCAUUGUUUUAUGUGACUGUUUAGUGUGGUUGGAUGGAUUGUGGAAAUUGCAUGCUUAACUAUGACUGUUCACAGAUUAGUAUUAGUACAUUUGUUCAGAGAUUAGUUUUAGUACAUUUGUUCAGAGAUUAGUUUUUUUCAUGUGUUAUAUUUGUUCAGAUAUUAGUAUUGGUAUAUAUGUUUGAUGCAUGAAUGAACAGCCCCACUAUUUAUAUCUGUGUACUGAGGUCAACAAGGUUUCGUAGCUAUGUUGUGCUUACAGUUUCUCUAUGCUUUCUGUUCCUUUGUCUGUCAGCUUGCAUCGUUGUUCAGUAUAUCGGUAUUUGGAGUUUUAAUCUGUCUUACUUACAGUCAUUGAGCUCUUGCCUGGCGAUGGCUUCUUAUAUCCAGUAAUUUUCUUUUGGUCUCUCUUUGUCGUCAACCUCUUACUCAGUUUUUAGCCUUUUAAUUCUCAUCUUUUUUCUUCAGCUUCACCAGUUUCUUUGUUCCUGUUUGAAGUUUCUCAAAUUUUGUCCAUGGCACAUUGCAUUAUUUAUUCAUAUUGCGGUAAUGAUUAUGACAAUUAUAUCCUUAUUUUUUGGAAGUGACAAACAAAGAAGCACCCAGAGUUAAGACACUUUCUUUUUGCAAGCUUUAUUUUUUUGCAUUUGCAUGGUUGGUUUUUGCAUUGGUGAAUUUCAUGUGCAACCAAGCUGUAAGUCAGUCACCUUGUUUCAUUUUGUACUGAUGAAUGGAAGUUAUCGUUUGCUUGCUAUGAAGUUCUUUUUUUUUUAAAUCUAAAAUUGACAGGCAAUUGCAUUUGUAGCCAUAAACGGAACAGACACCUUUGUGAUAGUCCAAGUAGCAUACUUUUGUUAGCUAUUCAGAAAAGAUGUUGCUAUACUAUCUCUUACUGCGGCUUAAAUUGUUUUAAAUUGUUGUUCUCAUCUUUCUAUGUCUUUGUUCCGUCAGUCUUGUAUCUCAUCAGGAUUUAGUGUGUGUUUUGUCAGUCUUCAGUGUCUUGCAUCUCAUCAGGAUUUAGUGUGUGUUUCUUCAGUCUUUUCUCUGUCAGUGUUUAGAUUUCAGUGCUAUAUCAGAUACAGUAUAUCUUUACCAACGCAGCAUUUUGUCAAAAAAUCAAGUCUAUCUAGCUUUUUCUCUUACAUUUUUGCCUCGAGUUUUUGUGCAGCUAUGUUUUCUUUUUCCAGAGAUGAUCACAUGUAUGUAUUUUACCGUGUGUUUAUCUAGUUGUAAUGUCAAGUGCCAGGUCAUUGUGGGAUGAAUGUUUCUCGAGUAUGAUCUGUAGUAGACUACGAAGAAUCCUGAAAUCUCGGAUUUUGGUGGCAAAUUAGACUCUGCGUAUAUAUUAAUAUCAAAGUAGACUAUCAAUUUAAUUUUGAUUGGUGAUGCUUAUCAUGUGCAUUGUGGGAUCAAUGUUUCUUGAUUUUUAGUUGUAGAGUAUUUUUAGGAGCCGAUGGAUCUUGAAUUCAAGGACUAGUUCUGAAUCUGUUACAUUUUGGCCAACGAGCUCAGUGAGUUACUCCCUUUGUUUGGAAUUACUCGUCGAAGAAAUGAAUGUAUCUAGAUAUAUUUUAGUUGUAGAUACAUCCAUUUUUGUUUCCGGAGGGAGUACAUGUCAACAAUUUACUCUAGCAUUGUAUAUUUGAACUCGUCUGGCUGGGCAACUUGUACCGUUUAUAUGGUUUUAUUUAGUUUUGUGUAUACAUAACCUGAUUUCAUAUGCUUGGCUGAAAAUUGCACGGGUAAGUUUCAUGUUGCUUGUUCCGAAGAGUGCUGUAUGGAGGUUUGGUUAUCAAUGAAUGUCAAAGGAUGAAAAGAGCAACAACAGAAUAAGGUCAUUUUGCUUACCUCUCCAGGAUUUUAGUGUGUUUCUUCAGUCUUCUCUCUGUUUUCACUUAAGAUGUCAGUGCGAAAACACCCGUGUCUUAUGAAAUCCAUUUCUUUAAAUGUAACCUUCAAAUUUUCUAGCUUGCAGGACUAUCCGUCCUUUUUACAUUUUUGCCUUCGGUUUUUGUGUUACUUCUGCUGAAGGUGGAUGCUGUCGGUUUUCCAAAUUGUGAACAUGAGCAAGGUAGGAAUUACGUAGUUUCAGCUUUCAUGAAACAGAAAAGCUAACCAGCGAACGUGAGAUUUUUGGUGAUCUCCAGCGAAACACCCUUCCUCAUCCUGAUCCACCCCCGCCCCCACUUUCCUCUUCAGAGCAAGCCCCCUCCUCGAUCGUCGGCGAGUCUAUUCUCGUCGUCUAUGAUAUCUUGUGCGGCCGCGUCGAGUUUCUUCCGUCAGUCCUCGACGACGAUUAAACACGGAGCUCGACUUGCUGAUGUUCUUCCCUCCCAAGAUCGCCCAUCGUGAGCAGCCUCGCUCUUUCCCGAUGCAACCAGACUGAAUGCUGAGCGAGGAGGCACGGGCGUCGCCCGAACCGCAAUGGAUGGACUCGCUCGAGUUACGCCGGCGUGCCUUGCAGCUGUCGCUGCCCCUCUAGGAGAUCGACGCCAGCGCUGUCGCUGCCCCUCUAGGAGAUCGACGCCAGCGCGGCGACCUACGACUUGGCCUGGAGCCCCUGUGCCUACCUGCUCACCAUGGCUGCCGCAAGGAGCUCCUGCGCUAGAUCCAACACCGCGCAGGCUGCCCCCAAGCUUCCAAGUUCCAACCACCGUCUCGACGAACCGCGGCGUGGUGCUCGUCCCCUUAGGUCCCGCCCCCCUCCCCUGCUUGCUCCCUCCCUUCCACCUUCCACGUCUUUCUUCUGUUCUUUGUGCUCCCCAUUGGUGUGUGCUAGACCAGCCCUGGCCGGUCCUUGUGUGCGCACUGUGUGACGGACCGCAGCGUUCAUCCCCUUAGGUUCUUCUCCCCCUGCCCGCUCCCUCCCUUCCAUCUUUCUUCUUCUGUUUUUUGUGCUCCCCAUUGGUGCGUGCUCGCUGGUCUAUGGCCAUGGCCGGUCCUUGUGUUCUCGCUGUGCUUCCGGCUCAUAGCGGUUCAGUAGACUUGCACAGGUUUCUUCAGAUUUCCAACGUGAAUGAAUUUAUUUUUAUGCCAAAUACCAGCUAGAUUAGGCUAUGAGGAUGGGCCAACUCAUGUAAUAACAUAAUGGAAAAUCCAGAUCUGUUGUCAUGGUUAUAUCAUGCGAAUUGUCACGGCUUUCUAUCAUGGCAAUUCACCAAUCCUAUUUCUUUUUUGUUGCGCCGCACUGUGAGGCAUCUCGCAUUUUAUAUCAGUAUGCAAGUUAGUCUAGUUGGUAAAUUCACAUUAGGUGUGUAGAUAGCGCAGACAAACUACAAUGGCAAAUUCACAUUAGGCAUGUAUAUGGUUUUUAGUUGGCAAAUUCACAAUUUGUAAACUGCCAUGGCACUUUUUUAUACUCCAUUACUAUUACAAGGCCACUUCAUUUUUAUGUCUAAUUUUGACCAUUAAUUUUACCAACAAAAUUUGAGUUAUAUGCCAUAAUAAGCAUGCCAUUAGAUGCACAUUUGAAAGAACUUUUUAUGAUAUAUUUUUUGUGACAAACGACCCAUAUAUUUUAUUUUUUUGCGAAUGAACCCAUAUUUUCUUGACCAAAAUUGUGAGUCAAAGUUUGACAUGAAAAAUGAAGUGGCCUUGUAUAUAAAAAUGGAGAGAGUAUAAUCUUGCAAUGUUACAUAGUUGCAAUUGGUGAAGGCACUUUCCACACCAAUUUUGACAAUCAGUAAACUACCAUGGCAAUUAGUCUUUCUUUUUGCAAUGACCCUUACAUAUUUUUGCCAUUUUAUAUAGUCAUUAAUUGUUGUUGUGGAUGCAAUUUUCGCCCUUCACAGUCCGUAAAAUUGCCGUGGGCCUUGUAUAUAAAAAUGGAGGGAUUAUAAUUUUUCCAUUUUACAUAGUUGCAAUUGGUGAAGGCACUUUCCACACCAGUUUUUACAAUUAUUAAACUGCCAUGGCAAUUACUUUCUUUCUGCAAUGACACCUUACAUAUUUGUGCCAUUUUUUAUGUUGUUGAUCGUUGUUGUGAAUGCAAUUUUCACCCUUCACAGUCCGUAAAAUUGCCAUGGGCAAUUUAGUACGAUCUUUUGGCAAGAGCCCAUGACACCUUAUAUAUUCUUUUUGCACGGGAUUUUUCAUAAAAUGUGUAUCCAACACAUGGCAAUUUUUUGAAAAUGUUUGCUUUUUAUCCUUCAUAUUUUCUUAGAAGAACAAAUGUUCUAUAUAACAUGGCAAGUUUGAAAUAUGUUUUUCAAAUGGCCACAAUCUAUUCUUUUUGUUAUUAUUUAAGAGAUGUCAUUUAUUAUUAUUAAGAGAUGGCUAGCAUUUUUUGUUUAUUAAGAGAUGGCAUUUUUUGUUUAUUUAGAGAUGAUGGCAUUUUUUGUUUAUUUAGAGAUGACUUUUAUUAUUUUUAAGAGAUGGCAUUUUUUAUUUAUUAAGAGAUAGCAUUUUUGUUUAUUAAGAGGUGGAAUUUUUUAUUUAUUAAGAGAUGGCAUUUUUGUUUAUUAAGAGAUGACAUUUUAUAUUAAGGUAUGGAAUUUUUAUUAUUAAGAGAAGUCAUUUUUUUACUAAUAGAUUACAUUUUUAUUAUUAAGAGAUGGCAUUUUUUACCAUGGCAUUUUUCUUAUUCUUUGUUACAUGGCAACUCAAAUUAUAGGGCCAUGACAAGUUUAAAACAUUUUUUGAAUAUCCAUGGUGAAUUUAUGAUAUUAUAGGACGGCAUAUUUUAGAAGUCCAGAGCAUGGAUUUUUUUGAAAAUGUCUGUUUUUUAUCCUUCACAUUUUCUUAUAAGAUCAAAUGUUCUAUAUAACGUGGAAAGUUUGAAAUAUGUUUUUCAAAUGGUCAUAAUCUGUUUCUUUCUGGUUUUGCCAUGGCACAUUCAAAACAUUAUGUUUCCCAUGGCAAAUAUCAUGGCAACUUUAUGUUGGCAUUUUUCUUACGGACAAAUGGGGUGGCAACUUUUUCUAGGUGUUACAAAAUGGUUUCAUGGCAUGUGUAUUUUUCCAUACAUGGCAAAUUUGUCAUGUUUUGUAUGGUAUUUUUAUAAAAGUUUUGCCAUGCAUGGCUGGGAUUUUUUUGCCCAACUGGGGUUCGAUCUCACAACCUCUUUUAGAGGCAAGUUCUGUUCUGGAGGGGCAGGGGGUUUAUCGGUGCGAACGAUUUCGUUCGCUGCAGCCUCCCCCCACGCUAGCUGGUUAUUGUUGCUGUAAAAAAAAAGGAGCUGGUUCUUGUUAGCGUAUUGUAUUUUAUGUGUACAUUGUACCUGUGUAUGUGUAUCCUCCUGGUAUAUAGGAUCGUGAGUAGUGCCCGGGCCUGCGUGCCACUUCCUUCGGGUUUCUUUCAGAGGCACUGGGCUUUACUGAAAGAUGAUAUUGUUCUGGCCAUUUUGGAUUUUUUUAAUGGGGGUAUUUUGCCCGAGGGGUUGAAUGACACGUCCAUCACCUUGAUCCCAAAGGUACGACACCCACAUCGAAUCACUCAGUAUAGACCCAUAUCCUUAUGUUCUGUCUUAUACAAGAUUGCCUCAAAAUGCAUCACCAAUAGAAUGAGGGUUUUUAUGGGGGAGAUAAUCAGUGAAGAACAAAGCGCGUUUGUCCCUGGGCGCCUAAUAACUGAUAAUGUGCUCAUUGCGUAUGAAAGUGUUCAUGCAAUGAAACGACGGAAGAGAGGGAAGAAUUGUGUUUGUGCAAUGAAACUUGACAUGAUGAAGGCAUAUGACCGAGUAGAAUGGCAUUAUCUGGAAGCCAUCAUGCUGCGUUUGGGUUUCAGCGCACAGUUUGUCAGACUGAUAAUGAAGUGUGUCACGUCGGUUAGAUUUACUGUUCCUGUGAACAGGGAGUUGCUGCCAUUUUUUACACCCUCAAGAGGGUUUCGUCAAGGGGACCCUGUCUCACCGUAUUUGUUCCUCCUAUGUGCAGAAGGUUUCACUUCCUUGCUGAAGUUUUAUGGAGGAGUCAAUAUCGACAGAGGUAUUCGCGUAAGCUAUCAAUCGCCUUGGAUAAAUCAUCUUCUGUUCACGGAUGAUAGUCUUAUUCUCAUGAAUGCACAGGUAGCUAGUGCACUCAGGUUGAAUGAGGUGCUACAGAUUUACAGUGACUGCUCCGGUCAGUGUGUUAAUAGGGACAAGAGCUCGGUCUAUUUCAGUCCUAACACAACCGAACCAGUGCGCUGUUUGUUGAAGGCAGUUCUGAACAUCUCAGUUGAAGCGUUCAGUGAACGAUAUCUGGGACUCCCAACUGCUGUUGGCCGUAUCACUAGUGGAACUUUCGAAUUUCUCAGAGAAAGGAUGAGAAGCAAACUACAAGUAGGAGUGGAAUGUCUCAUUUCUUGUGCUGGCAGGGAGGUCAAGCUGAAAGCUGUGGCCCAAGCAAUACCCACACACUCCAUGAGUUGCUUCAGACUCACUAAGAAGGUCUGCAAAGGCCUUUCUUCUGUCAUGGCUAGAUAUUGGUGGAGUAGCUCAAUCGAUCGCAGAUCGCUCCAUUGGAUUGAUUGGCCUUCACUUGCUGAACCCAAGGUUGCUGGAGGGAUGGGGUUUCGUAACCUAGAAUUGUUCAACUUAGCCCUGCUCGGAAAGCAUGGGUGGAAUUUGAUUAUCAACCCGGACUCUCUCUGUGCUCGUGUACUGAAGGGAAAAUAUUUCCCGCAAAGUGACUUCAUGGCCGCAACUGUCCCAAAGUGUGCCUCGGCCACAUGGCGUGCAAUUUGUGCGGGCAAACAAGCUUUGGGAGCUGGCCUAGUGAAACGAAUUGGUGAUGGCACAUCGGUGUCCAUUUGUUAUGAUAGCUGGGUGCCGGGCCUACUCUCCUUACGGCCAACUACUCACAUUGGUGACACAAAUAUUACUGCUGUGUCUGAGUUGAUCGAUGGAGACCGAGGUUUAUGGAAGGUUGAGCUGGUGAGGCACCAUUUUAUCACCCCCAAAGCUGAUGCAAUCCUCAAUAUCCCGUUAAGGGCGAAUGGGGGCGAGGAUUAUUGGGCAUGGACUGCAGAAAAGUCGGGUAUCUACACUAUGAAAUCAGCGUACCGUUCUCUCAUGACCUUGAAUGAGCACUCUGCUCAAAGGGAAGGGACGGCCACGGAAACCUCAGAGCAACAAAAAUAGUUGUGGACAAGACUUUGGAAGCUAAAAGUUGUGCCAAAAGUCAGAGUGUUUUGGUGGCGAGUGCUUAGGGGAAUUCUUCCCACUGAGGGCGCUUUGAAACAUCAACACACCGCUGUCUUGGCACGUUGCAAAGUCUGCCUAGAUGCAGACGAGGAUAUAUAUCACGCAUUGAUUAAAUGCACUCAUGCUAAGCUCUUCUGGAAGGAGGCGAGGGAAAUUUUAUCUGUCAAACUACCGGAGCUCCAUACAGAAACUUGGUCAAGGGACAUUUUAUGUGACCCUAGAUUCAAUGAGGCAGAUCAAGCAAAAGUUAUUACUGUCAUGUGGGCAAUUUGGACAUCCAGGAACAAUAUUACACAUGAUAGGGCUAGCUUGGAUCCAGUUCACUCCAUGAAGAUGACAAGAGAGGCCUUGUCGCUGCUAGAACUACCCCAACAACAUGCAAUGAUCUUACCGGGCCAUGGUUGGCGACCACCUGAUGCAGAUUGUAUAAAUGCUGGGAUUUCCAUGGAGGCAAGGAAGUGCGGGCUGGGAGGUGUUGCCAGAUCUGCUACUACAUUCUUGAGUGCCUGGUGCAAACCUAUCCAGGGCACUACGAAUCCACUUGUCGCGGAGGCCUUGCUCUCCAUGAAGGUGUGGUUUUUGCUCAACUUCAUGGCUUUGUGCGGGUGGAGAUGGAGACCGACAGCAUGGAGGUCGUCGAUCUUUGGAACUCGCGCCGUUCUUCGCGCUCGCUGAUAGCGCCUGUGUUACUUGAUAUUGAGGGUUUAGCUGCCUCUUUUUCCUUUUUUACUAUUCGUCAUGUAAAGAGACAUGCCAAUAUCCCCGCCCACCUGUGUGCAUAACAUGCCUGCACAAGGGAGGUAACGGAGUGUUGGAUGAACAAUCCUCCUGGCUUACUAAUCACCAGUCUAAUGGCUGACAGUGCAGGAGCAAUCUAUCUGGAAUAAAACCCUCAUUAUCCCACAAAAAAAACACUUCCUUCGUGUGUUCAGUUGUACCUCUCAUGUAUAUGUUAUAACGGUGGCUGAGUAAUGAAUACACAGAGCAUUCUAUCCUCUAGCUUGGUAUCUGUUUCUCAGGUCGCAUCCAUGGCCACCAAUUCCUCUUCCUCCUCCUCGGCCACCAGCCCUGCCACCUCGCCGGCCUCUCUGUCCGGCACCAGCACUGCCGCACCCACCACUGCUGGCACCUCACCAUCUCUUGGCGGCACCACCACUCCUCUGCCUUUCAGUUUGCUACCCUUUUCUCCUCCGCCAGAUCGCCGCUCCCAUCGGCCGCCCCUUCUCGUCACCCAAUCUUCGUCAACAACAUCCAAAACCACAUUAAGUUUCUUCUGAACCCCGACGACUACCACAAGUGAAAGUCCUUCCUCAUGGUUCUGAUUCGCUAUGGCGUCACCCACUUCAUCGAGCACCAUCCUCCUCCCAACGCUGAUGCUGCCUACCGUGAGCUUGAUGCCCACCUCGUCCUUUGGAUCUACGCGACUCUCGCUGAUCCUCUCGUCGACCUCGUCGUCGGCGCCACCUCUGUCUAUGAUCUCUGGAUGCGUAUCCACGACUAUUUCCUCGCCAAUCACGCUGCCCGGUACAUGAUGCUCAACCGACAGUAUCACAAUCUCAAGCAGGGCAACCUCUCCGUCGCCGAGUAUGCCCGCCGCAUGAAGUUACUCACUGCCGGCCUUGCGGACAUCGACCACGCUUUCACAGAGGUGGAUCUCACCACCCAGUUCCUCCACGGCAUCGACAAACGUCUCGAUACCAUCCGCGUCGUCUUGGGGGACACAGUUCCCCUUCCGCCCUUCGAGACGUUCUUCUCCCGCCCUUACAAGUGUUGUUAUUGCUCUAUAGUUACCCACAUUUAUAUUCUGUCUAUUCUGCUUUGUCUUGAACAAAUAUUAUUUGAACUGUGUCUCUAUCUUGAUUUGGCAACAAAAACUAGAAUGAUAUAGACCAUAAAGUGACCAUGAUACAUAGAUAUAUGUUUGUUUCAUGCUGUUAUCCUGUCCACUUUACUACUGAACUCAUUUACCAAAAUGAGUUUCAUAUACAACAUGGUAAACAUGUGAUGUGUCUGCUUGUUUCUCUUUUAGAAUGUGGACAAAAUAUUGGAGAACAGUACCGCGUUAUCCAAUGGUAAAGGAAGUAAUGCAGAUAAGGUUCAAGAUAGUGAGACAUCCCUGUUGGUCUCCAAGAAAGCUGAUAAAAACUAUCUUGACGACAGUGAGGGAACCCAAAAGUCCUGUCUUGAUGUAGUGUUCGUGUUAUUGGCCACUACUGCUGGCACAAGCUCUUCGAACUUGCUGCCUGAAUCAGUUCGUCUUCUUGAGUCUUAACUUCAAGUUGAAAUACAUCGAUCAGAUGUGCUGCGACAGGAAGCUGAAGGACUGAGGAAGUCCCUGCAGAAUUCAGAUGCAUAUUUUCUGGUGCAACAGCAAGCGCUGGAGGAUUUAAGUGCCAAACAAGAGAAAGUUAAUAAGCUUGCUAAGCAUCUUGCCAGCAUUAUGGGUACCCAAGAUAUUGUUUCUUGAGAUCUUCUGAAGUGGUUUCAGUUCUGGAUUUGUUUUGCUGUGGCGUUUAUUUGCGCUGGUCGCCAACUUUGACAACCAGUGUAUAUGAUAUGUUGCUUUGUUCCCUAUAUUUGCACUGGUGGCGAACUUUGAUGCCCAGUGGAUGUAAUAUGUGUAACAACCGUGAUAGCCUAGCAAAAGUUGCUUGCUUAUUUAUUUCCUUGUUGUCUUGUUUAUUUGUUUGCUUGUAGUCAGUGCAGUUCUUUUUAAAACUAGGCCACAAUAACCAUGGGCUAAUAUUUACUGUAGUGACACUGGGCCUCCUACGAGCUGUAGAAAUAGUGGGCCUUCUACGGGCCAUAGAAACAGUAGGCCUUCUACAGGCCGUAGAAACAAUGGGCCUUCUACGGACCGUAGAAACAUUGGGCCUUCUACGGGCCGUAGAAAAAAUGGGCCUUCUACGGGCCGUAUCAUCAAUGGGCCUUCUACGGGCCGUAUCAUCAAUGGGCCUUAUACGGGUCGUGUGACCAUAACGGGCCAUGUUAAUAGGCCGUAUUUGAUGACGCUAUGAAAACGGCACAGCGUAUUAACGGACCACAAACGGGCCGAUGUAACCACGGGCUGAAUUUGGCCCACAAGCAGAAAAUGACAGUAACGGGCCGUAAGUAAACGAAUGCUGGAAAUGAGCUCAAGAAUAAAUGGGCUCUAAGAAGGUUGAAAGAUAACAUUUGCUGGAAACGACCCAAUUGAAUAACGGGCCCUUAAUGGGUAUAAAGUGAUAUACUGUUCAUUACGGGCCAGUUUCACCAUGGGUCGUUAAUGGGUGUAAAGUGAUACACUGUUCAUUGCGGGCCAGUUUCACCAUGGGCUGUUAAUAGGCCAAGAGUUACAUAGGGCCUCAUAUGGGCCGAAAGACGUCAUGGGCCAUACAUGGGCCAGAAGUGAAAACGGGUUGGAAUCAUAUUGGAUGGCCCAGAUGAUGCUACUGGGCUUAAUUCCGAUAGGGCAUAACGGGCCUUAGGUUAGCGGGCUGUAAAUGGGCUAUAUGCGAACAUGCCGUUAACAUGCUUUCCAUGGGCCGGCCCACCACCUUUUGACCAAGUCAAAAGGGUCGGCCUUUUCACAGGAAUGGGCCUCUGUUGGGCACGUGUCGAUGUAUCAUAGGCACCUUCUGUCCAAUGAGUGGAUGACAUCUGUCCCAACGGUGAGCCGACACGUGUUUCCUCCAUCCAAUGAUGAUUUUACACGUGGAAAAUCCCCAUUGGUCGGGGCUGAUAACGGGUUAUCGGAUCCAAAACCCGACCCGAUAGCUUAACGGCAUUCCGUUACGGUGGAUGCCACGUGUCGGUCACCCUUGACGAAAGUACUUCUGUGACGCACGAUUUAUCAUCAUGGAAGUGGACACUUCUGUGAUGAUAAUUUUGGUAAUGUCAUGGAACACUUCUACGACAGCACAGGUAUGACUAUCUUGAUUCUGUCAUAAAUUUGUCAUGGAUAUACAUGCAUGACAAAAAACGCGACCUACUGUGACAAACACGUAUCAUCACGGAAGUGUAUUUUUUUUUGUAGUGAAGCCCUCAAACCAUCUCCACUUUAGCAGCAAAUAAAUUUCUUCCUGCAUGUAAUAACAAAAUGCACACUCCAUGUAAUGCUUGUCAGCUUGGCCGACAACCGCGUCUCCCUUUCCCUUCCUCUAGUAGCCGCACAUAUGCUCCCUUUGACUUAUUCAUUGUGACUUGUGGAUGUCACCAGUUGUAAGCUUUUCCGGCUAUCAAUACUAUUUAGUUGUGCUUGAUGAUUAUACUCAUUUUUCCUGGACCUUUCCCUUGCGCAACAAAUCUGACACCUCCACCAACUUACAAUGCUUCUUCACCUUUGUGCGUAUGCAAUACAAUGUCAUUAUCAAAGCCUUGCAAUUUGAUAACGGCAGCGAGUUCAUCAACACCUACUUGCGCACCUUUCUCUCUGCCAACAGCAUCGCUUAUCGGUUUUCAUGCCCCCACACUUCUCCCCAAAAUGGCAAGGCUGAGUGCCUCAUACGUACCACCAAUGACAUCAUAUGCACUCUUAUCCAAGCUCACUUACCCCCACCCUUCUGGGUUGAGGCGCUGCACACCGCCACACACUUGCUCAACAUACGUCCCCCUAGCAUAUUGAGAUUGAUCUCCAUUUCGUCCAUGAUCGUGUGGCUCUUGGUGAAGUUCGUGUCCUGCAUGUACCGUCCAGUUCUCAGUUUGCGGAUGUCUUCACCAAGGGCCUUCCUACACAUGUGUUCACUGAGUUUCGCGCCAGCCUAAAUAUCCUUCCACACGGAGUUCCGGCUGAGGGGGGGGGGGGUGUUGGGGAACGUAGUAAUUUCAAAAAAAUUCCUACGCACACGCAAGAUCAUGGUGAUGCAUAGCAACGAGAGGGGAGAGUGUGUCCACGUACCCUCGUAGACCAAAAGCGGAAGCGUUAGCACUACGCGGUAGAUGUAGUCGUACGUCCUCAUGGCUCGAUCGAUCAAGCACCGAAAGCACGGCACCUCUGAGUUCUUGCACACGUUCAGCUCGAUGACGUUCCUCGAACUCCAAUCCAGCUGAGUGUCAAGGGAGAGUUCCGUCAGCACGACGGCAUGGUGAUGAUGAUGAUGUUCUACCGACGCAGGGCUUCGCCUAAGCACCGCUACGAUAUUAUCAAGGUGGAAUAUGGUGGAGGGGGCACCGCACAUGGCUAAUAGAUCUCAAGGAUCAAUUGUUGUUGUCUUUAGAGGUGCCCCCUGCCCCCAUAUAUAAAGGAGCAAGGGGGAGGGGGCGGCCGGCCAGGAGGGGGCGUGCCAGGAGGAGUCCUACUCCCACCGGGAGUAGGACUCCCUCCUUUCCUUGUCCAAGUAGGAGAGGGGGAAGGAAGGGAGAGAGGGGAGGAAGGAAGGGGGGGGGGGUGCCGCCCCUCCUCCUUGUCCUAUUCGGACUAGAGGGGGAGGGGGGCGCGACCUGCCCUGGCCGCCCCUCCUCUUCUCCACUUUGGGCCCAUGAGGCCCAUUAACCCCCCCGGGGGUUCCGGUAACCCCCUGGUACUCCGGUAUAUAUCUGAUAACCCCCGGAACCAUUCCGGUGUCCGAAUAUAGUCGUCCAAUAUAUCAAUCUUGAUGUCUCGACCAUUUCGAGACUCCUCGUCAUGUCCGUGAUCACAUUCGGGACUCUGAACUAUCUUCGGUACAUCAAAAUACAUGAACUCAUAAUAUAACUGUCAUCUAACUUUAAGUGUGCGAACCCUACGGGUUCGAGAACUAUGUAGACAUGAUCGAGACACAUUUCCGGUCAAUAACCAAUAGCGAAACCUGGAUGCUCAUAUUGGCUCCUACAUAUUCUACGAAGAUCUUUAUCGGUCAAACCGCAUAACAACAUAUGUUGUUCCCUUUGUCAUCAGUAUGUUACUUGCCCGAGAUUCGAUCGUCGGUAUCUCAAUACCUAGUUCAAUCUCGUUACCGGCAAGUCUCUUUACUCGUUAUGUAAGGCAUCAUUCCAUAACUAACUCAUUAGCUACAUUGCUUGCAAGGCUUAAAGUGAUGUGCAUUACCGAGAGGGCCCAGAAAUACCUCUCUGACAAUCGGAGUGACAAAACCUAAUCUCGAAAUACGCCAACUCAACAUGUACCUUUGGAGACACCUGUAGAGCUCCUUUAUAAUCACCCAGGUACGUUGUGACGUUUGGUAGCACACAAAGUGUUCCUCCGGUAAACGGGAGUUGCAUAAUCUCAUAGUUGUAGGAACAUGUAUAAGUCAUUAAGAAAGCAAUAACAACAUACUAAACCAUCAAGUGCUAAGCUAACGGAAUGGGUCAAGUCAAUCACAUCAUUCUCCUAAUGAUGUGAUCCCGUUAAUCAAAUGACAACUCAUGUCUAUGGUUAGGAAACACAACCAUCUUUGAUUAACGAGCUAGUGAAGUAGAGGCAUACUAGUGACAUUAUGUUUGUCUAUGUGUUCACACAUGUAUUAUGUUUCUGGUUAAUACAAUUCUAGCAUGAAUAAUAAACAUUUAUCAUGAUAUAAGGAAAUAAAUAAUAACUUUAUUAUUGCCUCUAGGGCAUAUUUCCUCCAGUCUCCCACUUGCACUAGAGUCAAUAAUCUAGAUUACACAGUAAUGAUUCUAACACCCAUGGAGCCUUGGUGCUGACCAUGUUUUGCUCGUGGAAGAGGCUUAGUCAACGGGUCUGCAACAUUUAGAUCUGUAUGUAUUUUGCAAAUCUCUAUGUCUCCCACCUGGACUUGGUCCCGGAUGGAAUUGAAGCACCUCUUGAUGUGCUUGUUCCUCUUGUGAAAUCUGGAUUCCUUUGCCAAGGCAAUUGCACCAGUAUUGUCACGGAAGAUCUUCAUUGGUCCUGAUGCACUAGGUAUGACACCUAGAUCGGAUAUGAACUCCUUCAUCCAGACUCCUUCAUUUGCUGCUUCUGAAGCAGCUAUGUACUUCGCUUCACAUGUAGAUCCCGCCACGACGCUUUGUUUAGAACUACACCAACUGACAGCUCCACUGUUCAAUAUAAACACGUAUCCGGUUUGCGAUUUAGAAUCAUCCGGAUCAGUGUCAAAGCUUGCAUCGACGUAACCAUUUGCCACUAGCUCUUUGUCACCUCCAUAAACGAGAAACAUAUCCUUAGUCAUUUUCAGGUAUUUCAGGAUAUUCUUGACCGCUGUCGAGUGAUCCACUCCUGGAUUACUUUGGUACCUCCCUGCUAAACUUAUUGUUAAGCAUACAUCAGGUCUGAUACACAGCAUUGCAUACAUGAUAGAGCCUAUGGCUGAAGCAUAGGGAACAUCUUUCAUUUUCUCUCUAUCUUCUGCUGUGGUCGGGCAUUGAGUCUGACUCAACUUCACACCUUGUAAUACAGGAAAGAACCCUUUCUUUGAUUGAUCCAUUUUGAACUUUUUCAACACUUUAUCAAGGUAUGUGCUUUGUGAAAGUCCAAUCAAGCGUCUUGAUCUAUCUCUAUAGAUCUUGAUGCCUAAUAUGUAAGCCGCUUCACCGAGGUCUUUCAUUGAAAAACUUUUAUUCAAGUAUCCUUUUAUGCUAUCCAGAAAUUCUAUAUCAUUUCCAAUUAACAAUAUGACAUCUACAUAUAAUAUCAGAAAUGCUACAGAGCUCCCACUCACUUUCUUGUAAAUACAGGCUUCUCCAAAAGUCUAUAUAAAACCAUAUGCUUUGAUCAAACUAUCAAAGCAUUUAUUCCAACUCCGAGAGGCUUGCACCAGUCCAUAAAUGGAUCGUUGGAGCUUGCACACUUUGUUAGCACCUUUUGGAUUGAUAAAACCUUCAGGUUGUAUCAUAUACAACUCUUCUUCUAGAAAUCCAUUCAGGAAUGCAGUUUUGACAUCCAUUUGCCCUAUUUCAUAACCAUAAAAUGCGGAAAUUGCUAACAUGAUUCGGACAGACUUAAGCAUCGCUACGGGUGAGAAAGUCUCAUCGUAGUCAACCCCUUGAACUUGUCGAAAACCUUUCACAACAAUUCAAGCUUUGUAGACAGUAUUAUUACCAUCAGCGUCAGUCUUCUUCUUGAAGAUCCAUUUAUUCUCGAUGGCUUGCUGAUCAUCGGGCAAGUCAAUCAAAGUCCAUACUUUGUUCUCAUACAAGGAUCCCAUCUCAGAUUUCAUGGCCUCAAGCCAUUUUGCGGAAUCUGGGCUCAUCAUCGCUUCCUCAUAGUUCGUAGGUUCGCCAUGGUCAAGUAACAUGACCUCCAGAAUAGGAUUACCGUACAACUCUGGUGCGGAUCUUACUCUGGUUGACCUAUGAGGUUCGGUAGUAACUUGAUCUGAAGUUUCAUGAUCAAUAUCAUUAGCUUCCUCACUAACUGGUGUAGUUGUCAUAGGAACCGGUUUCUGUGAUGAACUGCUUUCCAAUAAGGGAGCAGGUACAGUUACCUCAUCAAGUUCUACUUUCCUCCCACUCACUUCUUUCGAGAGAAAUUCUUUCUCUAGAAAGGAUCCGAAUUUAGCAACAUAAGUCUUGCCUUCAGAUCUGUGAUAGAAAGUGUACCCAAUAGUCUCCUUUGGGUAUCCUAUGAAGACACAUUUAUCUGAUUUGGGUUCGAGCUUAUCUGGUUGAAGUUUCUUCACAUAAGCACCGCAGCCCCAAACUUUAAGAAACGAUAACUUUGGUUUCUUGCCAAACCACAGUUCAUAAGGCGUCGUCUCAACGGAUUUUGAUGGUGCCCUAUUUAACAUGAAUGCGGCCGUCUCUAAAGCAUAACCCCAAAACGAUAGCGUUAAAUCAGUAAGAGACAUCAUAGAUCGCACCAUAUCUAGUAAAGUACGAUUACGACGUUCGGACACUCCAUUACGUUGUGGUGUUCCGGGUGGCGUGACUUGUGAAACUAUUCUGCAUUGUUUCAAAUGUAAACCAAACUCGUAACUCAAAUAUUCUCCUCCAUGAUCAGAUCGUAGAAACUUUAUUUUCUUGUUACAAUGAUUUUUCACUUCAUUCUGAAAUUCUUUGAACUUUUCAAAUGUUUCAGACUUAUGUUUCAUUAAGUAGAUAUACCCAUAUCUGCUUAAAUCAUCUGUGAAGGUGAGAAAAUAACGAUACCCGUUGCGAGCCUCAAUGUUCAUUGGACCACAUACAUCAGUAUGUAUGAUUUCCAACAAAUCUGUUGCUCGCUCCAUAGUUCUGGAGAAUGGCAUUUUAGUCAUCUUGCCCAUGAGGCAUGGUUCGCAAGUACCAAGUGAUUCAUAAUCAAGUGAUUCCAGAAGUCCAUCAGUAUGGAGUUUCUUCAUGCGCUUUACACCAAUAUGACCCAAACGGCAGUGCCACAAAUAAGUUGCAUUAUCAUUAUCAACUCUGCAUCUUUUGGUUUCAACAUUAUGAAUAUGUGCAUCACUACUAUCGAGAUUUAGUAAAAAUAGACCACUCUUCAAGGGUGCAUGACCAUAAAAGAUAUUACUCAUAUAAAUAGAAGAACCAUUAUUCUCUGAUUUAAAUGAAUAAUCGUCUCGCAUCAAACAAGAUCUAGAUAUAAUGUUCAUGCUUAACGCUGGCACCAAAUAACAAUUAUUUAUGUCUAAAACUAAUCCCGAAGGUAGAUGUAGAGGUAGCGUGCCGACCACGAUCACAUCAACUUUGGAACAUUUCCCACGCACAUCGUCACCUCGUCCUUAGCCAAUCUUCGCUUAAUCCGUAGUCCCUGUUUCGAGUUGCAAAUAUUAGCAACAGAACCAGUAUCAAAUACCCAGGUGCUACUGCGAGCAUUAGUAAGGUACACAUCAAUAACAUGUAUAUCACAUAUACCUUUGUUCACCUUGCCAUCCUUCUUAUCUGCCAAAUACUUGGGGCAGUUCCGCUUCCAGUGACCAGUCUGUUUGCAGUAUAAGCACUCAUUCUCAGGCUUAGGUCUAGAUUUGGGUUUCUUCUCUUGAGCAGCAACUUGUUUGCCGUUCUUCUUGAAGUUCCCCUUCUUCUCACCUUUACCCUUUUUUCUUGAAACUGGUGGUCUUAUUGACCAUCAACACUUGAUACUCCUUUUUGAUUUCUACCUCCGCAGCUUUUAGCAUCACGAAGAGCUCGGGAAUAGUCUUGUCCAUCCCUUGCAUAUUAUAGUUCAUCACGAAGCUCUUGUAGCUGUGGCAGUGAUUGAAGAAUUCUGUCAAUGACACUAUCAUCAGGAAGAUUAACUCCCAGUUGAAUCAAGUGAUUAUUAUACCCAGACAUUUUGAGUAUAUGUUCACUGAUAGAACUAUUCUCUUCCAUCUUGCAGCUAUAGAACUUAUUGGAGACUUCACAUCUCUUAAUCCGGGCAUUUUCUUGAAAUAUUAACUUCAACUCCUGGAACAUCUCAUAUGCUCCAUGACGUUCAAAACGUCGUUGAAGUCCCGGUUCUAAGCCGUAAAGCAUGGCACGCUGAACUAUCGAGUAGUCAUCAUCUUUGCUCUGCCAGACGUUCUUAAUGUCGUCAGUUGCAUCUGUAGCAGGCCUGGCACCCAGCGGUGCUUCCAGGACGUAAUUCUUCUGUGCAGCAAUGAGGAUAAUCCUCAAGUUACAGACCCAGUCUGUGUAAUUGCUACCAUCAUAUUUCAACAUAGCUUUCUCAAGGAACGCAUUAAAAUUCAACGGAACAACAACACGAGCCAUCUAUCUACAACAAACAUAGACAAGCAAAAUACUAUCAGGUACUAAGUUCAUGAUAAAUUUAAGUUCAAUUAAUCAUAUUACUUAAGAACUCCCACUUAGAUAGACAUCCUCUAAUCAUCUAAGUGAUCACGUGAUCCAAAUCAACUAAACCAUGUCCGAUCAUCAUGUGAGAUGGAGUAGUUUUCAAUGGUGAACAUCACUAUGUUGAUCAUAUCUACUAUAUGAUUCAUGCUCGACCUUUCGGUCUCAGUGUUCCGAGGCCAUAUCUGUAUAUGCUAGGCUCGUCAAGUUUAACCUGAGUAUUCCGCGUGUGCAACUGUUUUGCACCCGUUGUAUUUGAACGUAUGAUGUGACCAUCUAUGCCAAGACUACUGUCACUCGUCCAAGAAAUAUUAAAGUUACACCGAUGCAUGAGAAGUUGACCGUGACAGUUCCAAAAGGGAAAGAAGCUGGUAUUUUAGAAGCUUUUUCAUAUAUACAGAUUGGUUCUAUGAUACUUCAGAUUUCUCCACCGCAAGAUGAAGUUAAACCAAAUUUUAGGACUCCACCGAAGAAGCUGUGAUCCGAUCGGCACAAAAAAUACUAGUUUUGUUAGCUUGGUAUUAUAGUAGAGUCCAAAGGUUGCACAAGUACUAGUUACGUAUACGUUUUAAGUCUAGGUUAGUUGGAAGGUGAUCAGCGUUGCCGGAGUAUUAAUUAGUCAAAUCUUAUUUUGUUUGGAUAGGAGAGUCCGUUUCAGCUUCGCUUACAUGGAGUCGGUUGAGAAGUGCCUGCGCGCACGUUAUAAAAGCAGGGAUACGCCAUGUAAAGAAGGUCAAGUUUUGUUUCAUCGUGAGUUCAAUAAUAGUCAGAAAACGUCCUAUGUCGAGGGACAACAAAUAUUGUCUUCGUUGCUGAUCCAUUUUGUUGCUGCUGCGCGUGGAGCCGAUCUAAUCUACUCAACGCUAGUUUCUUUUGAUCUUACGGUCUUGCAUAUUUGCUCGAUCAGAAUUUCUUGUGCUAUUGCCAGUAUCGUGAAAGAUCGGGCCAACGAACGACUCGCCAUCUAGUUGAGUCUUCAUCAAGUGGUAUUCAGAGCUAAGGUUGUUCACGGUACUGUGUUGAUUAAGAUGUCAACCUCGGCUGACAAGGGUGACGAGGUUGCUACUGAUUCUGAGGAAAUAGUGCGUCCAGUGUAUGCGGAUGAUAUUCCUCAAAAUAUUCGGGAUGGUUUUGACCACACAUGCAACUACAUCAAGCAAUGUCAUGACGCGCUCGGCAAAAGGAUAGAUGUCCUGAUCACUCGGUUCGAUGGUUUGGCAGACAUCAUCAAUAUGCCGGCAGCGACUUCUGCACCACCACAGACUGCUCCGGCUGCUCCACUGUAUUAUGCACCACCAGCUCGCGACGGAUAUGCUGGCGUGCAUGAUCGCCGUCUGGCAGCACACCCUCAUGCUGGAGAUGAUGGUUUCGGUGAUGGCAUUGACCGCGCGGGGUACGCGCCACGACCACGACACUAUGAGCCUCGUCCCGAAACAUCCAUUCGUGGUGGAGUGCAUGACCGAGUUGGUCAAGCUGUGCGUGUGCCUUUGGAUGAUGGAAUUGGGCGCAUAAAAAUUUCAAUCCCUUCGUUCUCCGGCAAGUGUGAACCAGAAGGCUAUUUGGAGUGGGAGAUGCGUGUUGAUCAAAUUUUUGAUGCCCAUCAUUAUAGCAAGGAGAAGAAAGUUCAACUUGCUGGAAUUGAGUUUACCGGUUAGGCGCUAAUUUGGUGGAAUCAAAUUUGUUGUUCAAGACAUCGCCCGACGACUUGGCGAGGUAUGAAAGAAUUCAUGAGGCGCCGUUUUGUUCCUGAGCACUAUAAAAGAGAUAUGUACAACAAGUUGCAGCGGCUCUCUCAAGGUAAUUUGAGUGUUGAUGAAUAUUACAAGGAGAUGGAAUUGCUUAUGAUACGUGCAGGGACAACGGAGGAUCUGGAGGCGACCAUGACACAUUUCUUUAACGGGCUAAAUAUCGAGGUGCAGGAACGUGUUGAGAUGGUGGUCUACUACAACAUACAAGAUCUUGUGCAUCAAGCUGUGCGUGCGGAACAACAGAUUAAGCGGCGCCAAGUCAACACAGUUCCCAGUACCACUUUGAACACAUGGUGACGCUCCCAGCAUCAGAGUGAGGAUAUCGGUCCUAGCUCGAGGACGGCAACAUCAAAUCGCCCUCAUGGUUCCGUGCAAAAGAAUGCUUCAAAAUCAGGACCGUCGAGGGUUGAUUCUAGUGCACAGUCGACCAAUCGUUCCAGUGACAUAGAGUGUUUCAAGUGUGGAGAAAGGGGACAUAUGAAGCGUGAAUGUCCUAAUGAGAAGAGAGUAUUGCUCACAAAAGAUGGCUAUGCAUCCGCGAGUGAUGAAGAGGCAGUUUCUGACACUUCUAGUGAAAAAUUUGAAGAUGCUGAGAAGGUGACUACUAGUUUUGAAGCUGCUGAAUCAUAUCCGUCCUUAAUGGUGCAGCGUGUGCAAGAGGAUCGCAUUGAGAAUAAGGGGCAGCGUUGGAAUAUUUUUCAGACUCAGUGCAAGAUCAACAACACCAAUUGCAAGUUGAUCAUCGACGGUGGAAGCUACACUAAUGCAGUCAGCAAGGACUUGGUGGAUGCUUUUGCUUUACCAACCUGGAAGCACCCACAACCACACUGUGUCGAAUGGUUAUAUCAGUCGGGCAAACUGAAAGUUACUCACAAGGUGCGCAUCAAUUUUUUGGUUGGCAAUUAUAUCGAUACAGUUAUCUGUGAUGUUCUACCAAUGGAUGCAUGCCAUUUGUUGUUGGGGAGGCCAUGGCAAUAUGAUCAUCGAGCUACACAUGAUGGGAGGUCCAACACUUAUUCCUUUUGGGACUCUGGAAGGCGACGUAUGUUACAGCCGAUGUUCUCUAGUGCAAUCAAGAAUGAUGUCUGUAAGAUCCCUAAAGGUAUCUUGAAGCCAAGGAUGGCUUCAUUUCAAGAGGGGCAGGAUGAUGUGACCAUCUAUGCCAAGACUACUGUCACUCGUCCAAGAAAUAUUAAAGUUACACCGAUGCAUGAGAAGUUGACCGUGACAGUUCCAAAAGGGAAAGAAGCUGGUAUUUUAGAAGCUUUUUCAUAUAUACAGAUUGGUUCUAUGAUACUUCAGAUUUCUCCACCGCAAGAUGAAGUUAAACCAAAUUUUAGGACUCCACCGAAGAAGCUGUGAUCCGAUCGGCACAAAAAAUACUAGUUUUGUUAGCUUGGUAUUAUAGUAGAGUCCAAAGGUUGCACAAGUACUAGUUACGUAUACGUUUUAAGUCUAGGUUAGUUGGAAGGUGAUCAGCGUUGCCGGAGUAUUAAUUAGUCAAAUCUUAUUUUGUUUGGAUAGGAGAGUCCGUUUCAGCUUCGCUUACAUGGAGUCGGUUGAGAAGUGCCUGCGCGCACGUUAUAAAAGCAGGGAUACGCCAUGUAAAGAAGGUCAAGUUUUGUUUCAUCGUGAGUUCAAUAAUAGUCAGAAAACGUCCUAUGUCGAGGGACAACAAAUAUUGUCUUCGUUGCUGAUCCAUUUUGUUGCUGCUGCGCGUGGAGCCGAUCUAAUCUACUCAACGCUAGUUUCUUUUGAUCUUACGGUCUUGCAUAUUUGCUCGAUCAGAAUUUCUUGUGCUAUUGCCAGUAUCGUGAAAGAUCGGGCCAACGAACGACUCGCCAUCUAGUUGAGUCUUCAUCAAGUGGUAUUCAGAGCUAAGGUUGUUCACGGUACUGUGUUGAUUAAGAUGUCAACCUCGGCUGACAAGGGUGACGAGGUUGCUACUGAUUCUGAGGAAAUAGUGCGUCCAGUGUAUGCGGAUGAUAUUCCUCAAAAUAUUCGGGAUGGUUUUGACCACACAUGCAACUACAUCAAGCAAUGUCAUGACGCGCUCGGCAAAAGGAUAGAUGUCCUGAUCACUCGGUUCGAUGGUUUGGCAGACAUCAUCAAUAUGCCGGCAGCGACUUCUGCACCACCACAGACUGCUCCGGCUGCUCCACUGUAUUAUGCACCACCAGCUCGCGACGGAUAUGCUGGCGUGCAUGAUCGCCGUCUGGCAGCACACCCUCAUGCUGGAGAUGAUGGUUUCGGUGAUGGCAUUGACCGCGCGGGGUACGCGCCACGACCACGACACUAUGAGCCUCGUCCCGAAACAUCCAUUCGUGGUGGAGUGCAUGACCGAGUUGGUCAAGCUGUGCGUGUGCCUUUGGAUGAUGGAAUUGGGCGCAUAAAAAUUUCAAUCCCUUCGUUCUCCGGCAAGUGUGAACCAGAAGGCUAUUUGGAGUGGGAGAUGCGUGUUGAUCAAAUUUUUGAUGCCCAUCAUUAUAGCGAGGAGAAGAAAGUUCAACUUGCUGGAAUUGAGUUUACCGGUUAGGCGCUAAUUUGGUGGAAUCAAAUUUGUUGUUCAAGACAUCGCCCGACGACUUGGCGAGGUAUGAAAGAAUUCAUGAGGCGCCGUUUUGUUCCUGAGCACUAUAAAAGAGAUAUGUACAACAAGUUGCAGCGGCUCUCUCAAGGUAAUUUGAGUGUUGAUGAAUAUUACAAGGAGAUGGAAUUGCUUAUGAUACGUACAGGGACAACGGAGGAUCUGGAGGCGACCAUGACACAUUUCUUUAACGGGCUAAAUAUCGAGGUGCAGGAACGUGUUGAGAUGGUGGUCUACUACAACAUACAAGAUCUUGUGCAUCAAGCUGUGCGUGCGGAACAACAGAUUAAGCGGCGCCAAGUCAACACAGUUCCCAGUACCACUUUGAACACAUGGUGACGCUCCCAGCAUCAGAGUGAGGAUAUCGGUCCUAGCUCGAGGACGGCAACAUCAAAUCGCCCUCAUGGUUCCGUGCAAAAGAAUGCUUCAAAAUCAGGACCGUCGAGGGUUGAUUCUAGUGCACAGUCGACCAAUCGUUCCAGUGACAUAGAGUGUUUCAAGUGUGGAGAAAGGGGACAUAUGAAGCGUGAAUGUCCUAAUGAGAAGAGAGUAUUGCUCACAAAAGAUGGCUAUGCAUCCGCGAGUGAUGAAGAGGCAGUUUCUAACACUUCUAGUGAAAAAUUUGAAGAUGCUGAGAAGGUGACUACUAGUUUUGAAGCUGCUGAAUCAUAUCCGUCCUUAAUGGUGCAGCGUGUGCAAGAGGAUCGCAUUGAGAAUAAGGGGCAGCGUUGGAAUAUUUUUCAGACUCAGUGCAAGAUCAACAACACCAAUUGCAAGUUGAUCAUCGACGGUGGAAGCUACACUAAUGCAGUCAGCAAGGACUUGGUGGAUGCUUUUGCUUUACCAACCUGGAAGCACCCACAACCACACUGUGUCGAAUGGUUAUAUCAGUCGGGCAAACUGAAAGUUACUCACAAGGUGCGCAUCAAUUUUUUGGUUGGCAAUUAUAUCGAUACAGUUAUCUGUGAUGUUCUACCAAUGGAUGCAUGCCAUUUGUUGUUGGGGAGGCCAUGGCAAUAUGAUCAUCGAGCUACACAUGAUGGGAGGUCCAACACUUAUUCCUUUUGGGACUCUGGAAGGCGACGUAUGUUACAGCCGAUGUUCUCUAGUGCAAUCAAGAAUGAUGUCUGUAAGAUCCCUAAAGGUAUCUUGAAGCCAAGGAUGGCUUCAUUUCAAGAGGGGCAGGAUGAUGUGACCAUCUAUGCCAAGACUACUGUCACUCGUCCAAGAAAUAUUAAAGUUACACCGAUGCAUGAGAAGUUGACCGUGACAGUUCCAAAAGGGAAAGAAGCUGGUAUUUUAGAAGCUUUUUCAUAUAUACAGAUUGGUUCUAUGAUACUUCAGAUUUCUCCACCGCAAGAUGAAGUUAAACCAAAUUUUAGGACUCCAUCGAAGAAGCUGUGAUCCGAUCGGCACAAGAAAUACUAGUUUUGUUAGCUUGGUAUUAUAGUAGAGUCCAAAGGUUGCACAAGUACUAGUUACAUAUACGUUUUAAGUCUAGGUUAGUUGGAAGGUGAUCAGCAUUGCCGGAGUAUUAAUUAGUCAAAUCUUAUUUUGUUUGGAUAGGAGAGUCUGUUUCAGAUUCGCUUACAUGGAGUCGGUUGAGAAGUGCCUGCGCGCACGUUACAAAAGCAGGGAUACGCCGUGUAAAGAAGGUCAAGUUUUGUUUCAUCGUGAGUUCAAUAAUAGUCAGAAAACGUCCUAUGUCGAGGGACACCAAAUAUUGUCUUCGUUGCUGAUCCAUUGGGAUUUUGUUGCUGCUGCGCGUAGAGCCGAUCUAAUCUACUCAACGCUAGUUUCUUUUGAUCUUACGGUCUUGCAUAUUUGCUCGAUCGGAAUUUCUUGUGCUAUUGCCAGUAUCGUGAAAGAUCGGGCCGACGAACGACUCGCCAUCUAGUUGAGUCUUCAUCAACGUAGAGCUUAUCACACCCGAUCAUCAUGUGGUGUCUCAGCACGAAGAACUUCCACAAUGGUGCAUACUCAGGGAGAACACUUAUACCUUGAAAUUUAGUGAGAGAUCAUCUUAUAAUGCUACCGUCAAUCAAAGCAAAAUAAGAUGCAUAAAGGAUAAACAUCACAUGCAAUCAAUAUAAGUGAUAUGAUAUGGCCAUCAUCAUCUUGUGCUUGUGAUCACCAUCUCCGAAGCACCAUCAUGAUCACCAUCGUCACCGGCGCGACACCUUGAUCUUCAUCAUAGCAUCGUUGCCAUUUCGCCACCUAUUGCUUCUAUGACUAUCGCUACCGCUUAGUGAUAAAGUAAAGCAAUUACAGGGCGAUUGCAUUGCAUACAAUAAAGCGACAACCAUAUGGCUCCUGCCAGUUGCCGAUAACUCGGUUACAAAACAUGAUCAUCUCAUACAAUAAAAUAUAGCAUCACGUCUUGACCAUAUUACAUCACAACAUGCCCUGCAAAAACAAGUUAGACGUCCUCUACUUUGUUGUUGCAAGUUUUACGUGGCUGCUACGGGCUGAGCAAGAACGGUUCUUACCUACGCAUCAAAACCACAACGAUAGUUCGUCAAGUUAGUGCUUUUUUAACCUUCUCAAGGACUAGGUGUAGCCACACUCGGUUCAACUAAAGUUGGAGAAACUGACACCCGCCAGCCACCUAUGUGCAAAGCACGUCGGUAGAACCAGUCUCGCAUAAGCGUACGCGUAAUGUCGGUCCGGGCCACUUCAUCCAACAAUACCGCCGAACCAAAUUAUGACAUGCCGAUAAGCAGUAUGACUUGUAUCGCCCACAACUCACUUGUGUUCUACUCGUGCAUAUAACAUCUACGCAUAAAACCAGGCUCUGAUACCACUGUUGGGGAACGUAGUAAUUUCAAAAAAAAUCCUACGCACACGCAAGAUCAUGGUGAUGCAUAGCAACAAGAGGGGAGAGUGUGUCCACGUACCCUCGUAGACCGAAGCGGAAGCAUUAGCACAACGCGGUUGAUGUAGUCGUACGUCCUCACGCCCCGACCGAUCAAGCACCGAAAGCACGGCACCUCCGAGUUCUUGCACAUGUUCAGCCUGAUGACGUCCCUCAAACUCUGAUCCAGCCGAGUGUUGAGGGAGAGUUCCGUCAGCACGACGGCGUGGUGAUGAUGCUGAUGUUCUACCGAUGCAGGACUUCGCCUAAGCAUCGCUACGAUAUUAUCGAGGUGGAAUUUGGUGGAGGGGGGCACCGCACACGGCUAAUAGAUCUCAAGGAUCAAUUGUUGUUGUCUCUAGAGGUGCCCCCUGCCCCCGUAUAUAAAGGAGCAAGGGGGAGGGGGCGGCCGGCCAGGAGGGGGCGUGCCAGGAGGAGUCCUACUCCCACCGGGAGUAGGACUCCCUCCUUUCCUUGUCCAAGUAGGAGAGGGGGAAGGAAGGGAGAGAGGGGAGGAAGGAAAGGGGGGGGGGCGCCGCCCCCCUCCUUGUCCUAUUCGGACAAGAGGGGGAGGGGGCGCGCGGCCUGCCCUGGAUGCCCCUCCUCUUCUCCACUUUGGGCCCAUGAGGCCCAUUAACCCCCCCCCCCCAGGGGGUUCUGGUAACCCCCCGGUACUGCGGUAUAUAUCCGAUAACCCCCGGAACCAUUCCGGUGUCCGAAUAUAGUCGUCCAAUAUAUCAAUCUUCAUGUCUCGACCAUUUCGAGACUCCUCGUCAUGUCCGUGAUCACAUCCGGGACUCUGAACUAUCUUCGGUACAUCAAAAUACAUGAACUCAUAAUAUAACUGUCAUCUAACUUUAAGCGUGCGGACCCUACGGGUUCGAGAACUAUGUAGACAUGACCGAGACACGUUUUCGGUCAAUAACCAAUAGCGAAACCUAGAUGCUCAUAUUGGCUCCUACAUAUUCUAUGAAGAUCUUUAUCGGUCAAACCGCAUAACAACAUACGUUGUUCCCUUUGUCAUUGGUAUGUUACUUGCCCGAGAUUCGAUCGUCGGUAUCUCAAUACCUAGUUCAAUCUCGUUACCGGUAAGUCUCUUUACUCAUUAUGUAAUGCAGCAUUCCGUAACUAACUCAUUAGCUACAUUUCUUGCAAGGCUUAAAGUGAUGUGCAUUACCGAGAGGGCCCAGAGAUACCUCUCCGACAAUCGGAGUGACAAAACCUAAUCUCGAAAUACGCCAACUCAACAUGUACCUUUGGAGACACCUGUAGAGCUCCUUUAUAAUCACCCAGUUAUGUUGUGACAUUUGGUAGCACACAAAGUGUUCCUCCGGUAAACGGGAGUUGCAUAAUCUCAUAGUUGUAGGAACAUGUAUAAGUCAUGAAGAAAGCAAUAGCAACAUACUAAAUGAUCAAGUGCUAAGCUAACGGAAUGGGUCAAGUCAAUCACAUCAUUCUCCUAAUGAUGUGAUCCCGUUAAUGAAAUGACAACUCAUGUCUAUGGUUAGGAAACACAACCAUCUUUGAUUAACGAGCUAGUGAAGUAGAGGCAUACUAGUGACAUUAUGUUUGUCUAUGUAUUCACACAUGUAUUAUGUUUCCGGUUAAUACAAUUCUAGCUUGAAUAAUAAACAUUUAUCAUGAUAUAAGGAAAUAAAUAAUAACUUUAUUAUUGCCUCUAGGGCAUAUUUCCUUCAGUGGGGUGUUAGCGUAUUGUAUUGCAUGUGUACAUUGUACCUCACUACUAGGGAAAACCCUAGCAGUAGCGUGUGCUUAAAGCCUAUCAGUAGCGCGGGGUACCGCACUACUAGUAAGGCUCUACAGCUAAAGGUUAGCAGUAGCAUGGGUUGGACCGAGCUAUUGUAUAUCGACUUAGUAGCUGCGCUUUCUAAAACAAGCACUACUGGUAAUUAGUAGUAGCACUUCUCCUAGCACGCACUACUACUAUUAUUCUGUAUUUCAUUUUUAUUUCAUGUUGUAUUCAUACACCUUUAUACAAGUUUUCAUACCACAACAAUUUAGAGAAUGAUUUUACAUCAUAAUGAGUUAUUACAUCAGUGGGAGAAAGAACCGUGGACUAGUUUCAAGUGGAUGGACAUCCACUUGAAACUAAUCCACGGUUCUUUCACCCAAUGAUAUAAUAAAUAUCAUCAUCAUCAUCAUAUCAUUAACAACUUAUCAUCAUAAUACAUCAUUGUCAUAUAACACCUCCUCAUGAUCAUCGUUUUUAUCAAUGAGACAUCACAUACAAGUUGGUCAUGACUCACGAGACAUAAUCACAACUACUUAUCAUCAUCAACUCUCAUAAACAUAUUGUACCUCAUAGGACCUACUACAUUCUCUUAGGACCUACUAUAUUAUCUUAGGUAAAAUAGCAUAAAACAAGAUAGCCCCUGACUCUCCAUUAAGGAGAAUGGAGAUUAUCCUGUCUCCAAUUCUUGCCUUUCACACAAUGUUGCUUCCAAGAACCUCCUUAUGAAUGUCCAUACAUUUCUUCCAUUCUUUGAUUAUCAUGUGUUCAUCGUUUUUAAAAAUCCGGUAUGCACAGGUGAGAUUCAUAGGACGACAUGGCUGUACGUUCAAAACAUCAAGGCGACCAUUCUGAUACAUCAAAUGAGGCACACAAUCCAUUGGGAUUUUCUGUUGAAAAACAUAGUAAUAACUUCGUAGUUAGCAAUGUAGUUCCGUUUUAGAAGUAUGCAAAAGAUGCAUGGAUGUCGUAAUAGUAAAAAAUCUUACCAGGAAAUCUCCAUGGAAGGCAUCGUUGUUCAACACGUGCACUAGUGGCACGUAUUCACCAUAAUUUGGAGGAGUUCGAUAAAAGGCAUUGUAAUCCUCAAUGUCAGUACAAUAUGCGACCAGAUGAUUUUUCUCUUGAUAAGUUAACUCAGAGCCAUCGGUGUAGUUGGUUCUGUCUACCAUCUUCCGCACACUCUUUGAAGAAUGAAAAUAAGCUAUCAAUGGAAAUAAGCUGUCAACUAUUUUGAAAUAAAUAAUAUAAAUUACUUAAUAACUAUGUUUGAGGAACGCACAUAGCGGUAGAAUUGGAAGCGUAUCAAUAAGAACCCAAAUGUCCAAAUUGCCUUGGUCGAUGUCAGGAUCACCAAGAUCCAUGAUGACAAACAUACCUUCUUGAAAAUCAUACAUCUUGCAAAGUGCUUCCCAACCCGGGCAACCAAAAUUGGAUACGCUCUCAGAAUUGUAUAGAUUUACCUCAAAAUCCAUACCAUGAUGGGUCCUUAGGUUAAUUUUCUUUGUUUCAUUCCUCUCAUGAUCUUCAAAACCCAUCCUCUCCAAGACAUAGCGUCUUGCAUGGCAUGGGAUAAGCUAGUCGAAUUGUAAAAGACGAAAAUUACAUGUUGAAGUAGUAGAAGUCGAGUUUAAUUACAAAAAAAACACUUAGCGUCGUAGCGUACCGUUUCGCAAUCAAAGGCCUCCUCGAGCUUAAUGCUGAAGCGCCGACCUUCGUCCAGGUGAGGCCUGUCGCAGAAACCCCGGUUGUCGCCGCACCAGGAGCACUCCCCGGGACCUUCUUCGUCCGACGACAUUUCUUAUGUUCAUAAUUCAAAGAUUAAACUUGUACAAUUAAAUAUAUGUACUACAAAAACUAAAUUAGAUCAUUAUUAUUCAUCACGGGUUGACUAUGGGUCUGUCGAGUCUUUUCUUGAAAACCCUCAGCUCACGUGGUGUAUAUAUUCGGACCGUCGGUGAUGGUAGCUCCUCCUUUCGUUCCCGAGUGCAUUACACCAAAUUGUCUAGCACAUGGGAACGAAGGAGAAGCUACCCCCACGACAACAGUCGGGAUUCUUCGUCCUCUCAUAUAUGAUGGAUACUCUCCCUCAUGGAUUCCUCUCUGACAUUUGCGACCAUCGGUGAUGGUCGUUACUCCUCCUACCCCUAGUGCAUAACAAAGGUCUAGCACCCGGAGAAGAAGGAGAAACGACCCCCACGACAAUAGUCGGGAUUCUUCGGCCUCGGCAGUCUUAAAGUCAACCCAAAAUAUCGUUUAAUUAUCUUUCUAGAAAAUCUAGGCCACUCGAUAUUUCAUACACAUUCUAGCACAAGUCAUGCCAAAAUUCACGGAAAAUUCCGGCAUGACCUUUCCUAAAACAAGACAUAUCGAGUGCCUGAAAUUUGCCGGAACGGAAAUUAAUCAACACUCCGGCAAAAUAUAGGCCACUCGGAGGUGUAACCUGCAAACAUGACCAGCCACUUGGGCAACCACAUAUCCUAUUUGAGCAACACAAGAUAUACAUGUUUUUAUCUACAUCAUAUCUUAUAGGACUCAUAUUGACAUGGAGAUUUGGCUGGCUCACCUCGAGGUCGAAGGGGGUCAGUGAUGAGGACGACGGCGGGGAUGAUGGAGGGGCUCCUUGAUUUCUGCAAAAACCAAAACCCUAUAAGUUAUCACUAAUACAUCCCAAAUAGUAUCAUACAUAUAACAUCACUAAUGCAACUAAAACCCUAGCGAACGACAGGUAUCGACAACGAGGAUGCGGGAUAGGCAUCGUAGACGUAGAUGUGGGAAUAAUUGCUUAAACUAAAAAAAUAACAACAAAUGUGACAUGUUCAACUAGUUCUAUUAAUUCAACUAGUUCUUACUAAAAAUAAACUUACUAUAAAUAGAAAUAAACUAGUUCUUUCUAAAAAUAAACUAGUUCAACUAGUUAUAUUAAUUUAUUACUAAAAAUACAUUAGUUCUAUUAAUUCAACUAGUUCUUACUAAAAUCAAACUAGUUCAACUAGUUUAUUAAUUCACUUACUAAUUAUUUUAAACACUUACUAAAAACAGUAAAAAAAAACUACAUUAUACAAUAGUAAAAAACUACAGUGNNNNNNNNNNNNNNNNNNNNNNNNNNNNNNNNNNNNNNNNNNNNNNNNNNNNNNNNNNNNNNNNNNNNNNNNNNNNNNNNNNNNNNNNNNNNNNNNNNNNNNNNNNNNNNNNNNNNNNNNNNNNNNNNNNNNNNNNNNNNNNNNNNNNNNNNNNNNNNNNNNNNNNNNNNNNNNNNNNNNNNNNNNNNNNNNNNNNNNNNNNNNNNNNNNNNNNNNNNNNNNNNNNNNNNNNNNNNNNNNNNNNNNNNNNNNNNNNNNNNNNNNNNNNNNNNNNNNNNNNNNNNNNNNNNNNNNNNNNNNNNNNNNNNNNNNNNNNNNNNNNNNNNNNNNNNNNNNNNNNNNNNNNNNNNNNNNNAGGGAGUACCUCGGCGAGGAGCAGCGCGGCGGCGGCGGACAACGGGUUCGACGCGGGCGAGAGCGAGAGUGAGUGAGAGGGUGCAGUGAGAACCGCUCCAGGAUAAGUUAACUAAGUAGUAGUGCGUUUCAGUUAUACGCGCUACUGCUAAGGGACGUAGCAGUAGUGCUUGUCACGCAUACACGCUACUGCUAAGUGGGGCUAGCCAUCUGCGCCCUGUACAAGUAUAGCAGCAGCGCGCUUUAGCAGAACGCGCUAUUGCUAAAGCAGUAGCAGUAGUGUGGUCUAGUUAAAAGCGCUACUAUUAAGUAGCAGUAGUGCCCUGUUUUAUCUAACGCUACUGCUAAGAUGCUGUGUAUAAGGUUUUCCCUAGUAGUGUCUGUGUAUGUGUAUCCUCCUGGUAUAUAGGAUCGUGAGUAGUGUCCGGGCCUGCGUGCCACUUCCUUUGGGCGUUCAGUUGUACCUCUCGUGUAUAUGUUGUAACGGUGGCUGAGUAAUGAAUACACAGAGCAUUCUAUCCUCUAGCUGUUAUCGGGUCCUUCACGAAAUUGUGUACUUAUUUUUUUAAUCCAUGUGUGGUUCAGAUUGUAUUCUCUGUGUUUGUAUGCCUUGUGCAAUGCUAGGUGCUUAGAAAACAAAUCAGAUUUUUCUGAAGCACCAAUUUCUAUAUGAGAGAUGUCUAAUUAAGCAUUUACUCAUCACAAAUAAGCAUUGAUGCUUAAAAAACACUGAUUUAUUUAUCUAAUAACCCCUAAGCGUCUACAGGGCCUUAUCAGCUGGUUGUUAUUGGGUCUGGAAGAUCAAACCCAGUUAGUUAGUCAAAUUUUUGACCGUGACCAAGCAGCUGGUUGUUAUUGGGUCUGGAAGAUCAAACCCGCCAGUCAAAUUUUGACCGUGACCCAGCAUGAUUACUCACGCACACGUGUCACAACAUGAUUGGGCAAAAAGACCGACUGUCCCCAAAUGAAAAACAGCCGCCCGUUGAAUAGACACUCGAGAAGGACACAAGUACUGAAACAAAACAGAACUGGAUCCAACAGAACAAGUUACUCCCACGCCCGAGGAACGUGUCGCAGCAUGAUGAAGAUAAGCAGGUUUUAUACGGCCCUGAUUACUGUAUUUCGCACUACUAGUAGGCCAAACACUACUCCAUUUCGGGACUCCCGUUACUCCAACCAAGUAGCCAGUCAAAGUAAACAUCGAAGGGUAUCACCGAAACGUACUCCCAUUUGUACAGGGUUGUAUUUAGUGAUCCUGCCGGCACAUUCAGCCCGUCUAACCAGUCUUGAUUCGUCCCCCAAACCAUGUGCUACGAUCCCAAAUAAUCAAGUUAAAAUACUCUGCGUGCAGGAUCAUGGUCCCAGAUCUUCAACAGCAAGUGUAUUUGUUUAGCAUGCCAAUGCCCAUUUUUAUAUGUCUAUGUAGUAGUACUUGUGUAACUGUCGAGUGUCGACCUGUCUGACUCUGCUGUUUAGUACUCGAACGAAAAUGCUGUGCAGACGAUGGAUCGACCACACGACAGUUGAACGAUGCCAUAUCCAGCCGUCCACUGGACUUCGAUGAUAUGCAUGGACGACCUGAUGUGCAGCGUCGUGCACAAAUCGUUCGCGCAUCUUUGUCUGCGUAGCAGCGCUCGUACUCGAAUCCAAUGCUCGCUUGGAAAAUGUAACUUGACCUUUAUGCAUCCUUGCUAAGCAAGGCUCAAUGAUUCUCUGUCAUGAUAGAAGGAAAAUUUAAUCACUUGUGCUGUCAAUCCCUCCCAUUACGUCCUCAUGUCAUGAUAUAAGCUUAAUCUGAAUUCAGCAGUCUCUGAGUACUUAAGAAACAAGGCACGUAACUUUCUGAUUAAGACUAGAAGCUCCAUUGGAGAGCUUAGUGCAAAGUGGUGUGUUUUGCCUCAGAUGAAGGGAAUCCAAUCAUGUCGCCUUAGACUACUCACAGUGGGAGUAACUUCGACUAAUAACAUGCAUAUGUUACUAGUCUAUGUUACUACCUCCAUAGUGAAGAGUAAGAUAUGUGUGGUGUCAUACAACACUUCAUUUAUUAGCUUGUAGAGUCAUUUUGUCUUGAUACGUGUGAUGUGUAUAAGGCUGGCCAUAGUGGGGGUAAUAUAAGUAGUAUCAUAUACUUGAGACUCGCAAACAUGCUUAUGUGGCAGGCAAUUAAAGAAGAAAGAGAUGGUUAUAGUAACAUAGAUAGAUACCAUAACAUAAUAAAUGUAAUGCUACUAUGUGUCAUGCAUGGCAAUGAAUGAGACCACCUAUGAUACUAAUCUAUGAUACUAUGCACUAUAGAGGUAGUAACAUAGACUAGUAACAUAUGCAUGUUACUAGUCUAAGUUACUCCUCACUAUGACCAGCCUAAGUAACUAGCUAUGUUACUCGAUUCAUCUCUCUUCUCGUUAAAUCAUUGUCACAUAAAUAAAUUUGCUGAAUUGGACCUUGUGUUACUGCUCAAGUUACUCCCACAGUGGGUAGCCUUAGACUUAGGAAUAGACCAAGCAUAAUGAUGCCAUAAAUUUUGGAGCUCCUUCAAAAAAUAUGACCUGCAAAUGGAGUCAAGGCGCAUGCAUUGCAGUCUAGAACACCUGAAAUUGACAUAAUUCUUAUACACAUUGAACAAGUCUUACAUUUUAUUUUUGAAAAGGAGGAUGUAUCCCGUCUUCUGUAUCUGGGCAAUGCAUGCAGCCGCUUUAUUAAUUAUUCAUAAAGACUUUACAAAAUAGUAUAUUAGUAAGCCUGGAGCCAUCAUCUUAACAACACAUGUCACUACUCGUAUCCCUUGAUGCAGGGGUGCCGAAUGUCCGAGCCUAAUAUUAAACAGAUAUCACACCAAAACCUAACAUCUAAUGUCACAUGCCCCAUCCCAGCCACAUACCGGGACUGGGUUACAUACCGGUCUAGCGCACGUCAUCGAGGCUGCCACCAUCAUCUUCCAGCGAUCCAUCUCCAGAGCAGGGACUGAUGCACACCUUGCCAGCCUGCCGUCGAUGCCACCAUGGCGCCAGACAGCGCCACCGCCCUGUGCUCGACCAUCCAGCCGCAUCCGUCGAUGAUAUCCCACUGCACCAUGGCGCCAAUACUCAUCGUCAUCGACGCGGUAGAUACAACGCUACACCAUCUCGCAACCUUCACACCGUCGCCACUGCUGGAGCUACGCGAAGCCCACUGCCCAUAGCAUCUCUCCCCCAAACACGAGGUCCUCCCCAAACGGCGCCUCCAUGAAGGAUACAACGCAUAGGACGCCAUUGCCACCCAAUCCAGACCAAAUUCUGGACUUUCGUCCGGGAGAGGUUCGGGGGGUGGAUAGGACAGACCUCGGCUUCGCCUCCACGGAGGGUAACGACGUCGAGUGACAUCGCCGACGCCGGGCCGAACAAGCCGACCAAAGUUUCCUCCGGUCCCAUCCUAUACCAUCAAACCUCCAUCUGCUCCGGAUCCGGUAACGAGGCAUGAACCGAAACCUGCAGAGAUGAAAGAGCCGUGGGGCUCAGCCCACCAGGAAGGAGGACCGAGAAGAACCCAUCGUAGAUCUCCAGACGCCGAAUCCAGCGAUCUAACGUGGCCAGCGACGACCACCACCACCCCACGGAGGCUGACAGUGUCCAAAGACAGGAUCCAGAUGGAUCCGAUCUGGAUCCGGUGGCACCCGCGACCACCGGUCACGUCCAACGCAGCCACCACCUCAUCACAAGCAGACCGCCGCCGCUGCGCCACGCACGACACCGCCAGGAGACCCGCCCGCUGCGCCGUCAGACCCCACGCUCGCUCGGCGCUCCUCUCGAUCUCGUUGUCCCGCGCUAGCUGAGAUGGAAAGGGUGAGGAAAAGCCCCCCCCCCCCCUCCCGCCGCCUUACCAGCCAAGCUUCGCCCAACGGCGCUAUGGACGGCGGAGAGGAGCGGGACAAGCGAAGAAGCCCGAGUACCGACAGCUAGGGUUUCCUCCCGGGUCGCCCGCGGGGGUGACGCAAGGGGGCCUAAGCUCUGUUUGAGUUAGAAAAUUAAUAAACUAUAUAAAUGAGAGAGCUUAUGAUGACUUAUUAUCUACGGUUUCUUUAGCAUUUUUUCAUAAGAAAUCUAAUAGCCACUCCUACAUGUCUGAAGUAAAUUUCUCGAUUUCAUGUGUUCCCGAGCAUUUGCCCGUAAAAGGACGGGUCUGUCACGGGUCCGUGAAAUGAUGGUAGAGUCAUCAUGGAUCCGUGGAGGAGCAACUUCGUUGUAGGGCACAUACCACCUUCACAGUUCAGUUCAUUAGACAUGCCAAUAAAGGCAUGCAUAACGAAAUCACCUACGGCGAUCAUCAUGAUGUUACAACGGCAGAGACAUGCUUACUGCAAGGCAAGUGAGAGCGUGUUUGGUUGCAGUAGUGAGCAGUACCUACAUUGCAUACACAUCUUAACCUAACCUGGCUCUAGAAAAAUAACCUCAUACGCAACAUCUGCAAGUUGUUUGGUUGUCUGCAUAUGACUUCCUACAUUAGGGGAUCAACUUUGACACGUUGUUUGGUUGGCUGCAUUGUCUCAGCGCAUACAACUACACGUUGUUUGGUUGCCCGCAUGAGCUAUGAUUAGGGCGUGUCCAACGCGAACGCUAGAACGAGCGCAGGAUCUGAUUCCCGGCCAAUUAGUGGUUAGUUUAGGAAAUCCUGGUGAUUUGCUGUGCUUAGCCUCUUUUCUACCCGCUGGAAGCCCCCAGGUUCGUUAUUUAUUGAAAGCAAUUAGCGCCUGCCGUUGGAACGCAAGGCGCUUACUUAUUUUCUAAUUUUAUGAUCAUUAUUUUCUUUUUCGUAAGCGCCUAUACUAGCGGCUGGCAUUUUAGAUGCCCUUAAGAGCUAGCACUUGCACUUAGCACACAGGGUUAAGAGCUAGCAAAGGAAGGGGGAGAGAAAUGCAGUGUGCGCCGGACCAUAUGGCGACUGUGGUGGACAGUGACCGUGGCACCGUGUCCGACAUGACGAGCAUGAAGUCAUGGGCGAGCGACCCCGUCGGCGAACUAGUUGAAGUGCUCGUGCAAAGACAGUGGACAGAGGAGGAGAAAUGCAGUGCUCACGCCAUGGCAUCGUCAGUGUAGUAGGACGAGAGAGAGGAGUUGAGAUGAUCGACGCCGUAGGACGAGAAAGAGGAGGCCAAGAUGAUCGACCCCGUCGGUGGCAGACAACAGAGGAGAAGAACCUCGUGAGUAUGCACGCCAUGGCGGCUUAACUACAGUAGGAUCAUGGAGAGAAGGCCGAGAUGAACGAUGGCGAUGAUGAUGCUACCACAGCAAGACGCGAGAGAGGAGAUCUAAAGAAACCACACCGGCUUGAGGAAUAAUUAAGCAGUGUCUUAAAUCAUAGCACACAUAUCCAUAUGUACAACCAUGAGAAAUAUGUAGAUCUUCUUGUCUACGAUCAUCGAAACAUAAAACUUGCAACACGAAUGUUGUGCAGAAUUGCGAGAUUAGGCUACUGGUCAAAGGAGAUUUCAAACAAUCAAUCAUGCGUGACGAAUCUGACAAAAUUCGUCCAAAACAGCUCCAAAUGGGAACAAGAAAUUGGGCAUGUACGGUCGACAAAACUACAAACUGAUCGCCUGAAUGGAACCGUAGUAUCGAUGUGCAUAUUUUUUGUGUAGAGCUUACCUCGACUCGAAGCACUGUUGUGUAGAUUAGAGGGACACAGAAAAGAGAAGCUUGUUGCUGUCUACUGUUGGAAAUAUGCCCUAGAGGCAAUAGUAAAAUGGCUAUUAUUAUAUUUCCUUGUUCAUGAUAAUUGUCUAUUGUUCAUGCUAUAAUUGUAUUAACUGGAAACCGUAAUACAUGUGUGAAUACAUAGACCAUAACAUGUCCCUAGUGAGCCUCUAGUUGACUAGCUCGUUGGUCAAUAGAUGGUUAUGGUUUCCUGACCAUGGACAUUGGAUGUCAUUGAUAACGGGAUCACAUCAUUAGGAGAAUGAUGUGAUGGACAAGACCCAAUCCUAAGCAUAGCACUUCGUGUAGUUCGUUUGCUAAGAGCUUUUCUAAUGUCAAGUAUCAUUUCCUUAGACCAUGAGAUUGUGCAACUCCCGGAUACCGUAGGAAUGCUUUGGGUGUACCAAACGUCACAACGUAACUGGGUGGCUAUAAAGGUGCACUACAGGUAUCUCCGAAAGUGUCUGUUGGGUUGGCAUGAAUCAAGACUGGGAUUUGUCACUCCGAUGACGGAGAGGUAUCUCUGGGCCCACUCGGUGAUGUAUCAUCAUAAUGAGCUCAAUAUGACUAAGUAGUUAGUCACGGGAUCAUGCAUUAUGGAACGAGUAAAGUAACUUGCCGGUAACGAGAUUGAACGAGGUACUGGGAUACCGGUGAUCGAAUCUCGGGCAAGUAACGUACCGAUUGACAAAGGGAAUUGUAUACUGGAUUGCUUGAAUCCUUGACAUCGUGGUUCAUCCGAUGAGAUCAUCAUGGAACAUGUGGGAGCCAACAUGGGUAUCCAGAUCCCGCUGUUGGUUAUUGGCCAGAGAGCUGUCUCGGUCAUGUCUGCAUGAUUCCCGAACCCGUAGGGUCUACACACUUAAGGUUCGGUGACGCUAGAGUUGUUAUGGGAAUUAGUGUGCAGUUACCGAAUGUUGUUCGGAGUCCCGUAUGAGAUCCCGGAUGUUAUGAGGAGUUCCGGAAUGGUCCGGAGGUAAAGAUUUAUAUAUGGGAAGUCCUAUUUUUGCCACCGGAAAAUGUUCGGGAUUUUUCAGUAUUGUACCGGGAAGGUUCUAGAAGGUUCCGGAGUGGGGCCCACCUGCAUGGGGGGACCCACAUGAACGUGGGUAGUGGGGGCAAGGCCCCACACCCCUGGUCAAGGCGCACCAAGAUCCCCCCUUAGAAGGAAUAAGAUCAUAUCCCGAAGGGAUAAGAUCAAGAUCCCUAAAAAGGAGGGAUAACAAUCGGUGGGGAAGGAAAUGAUGGGAUUUCUUUCCUCCCACCUUUGCCAACGCCCCAAUGGACUUGGAGGGCAAGAAACCAGCUCCCUCCAUCCCUAUAUAUAGUGGGGAGGCGCAUGGAAGCUUCACCCUUGCCCCUGGCGUAGCCCUCCCCCUCUCCAACUCCACCUCCUCCUUGGUAGUGCUUAGCGAAGCCCUACCGGAGAACUGCAAGCUCCACCACCACGCCGUCGUGCUGCCGGAGCUCUCCCUCAACUUCUCCUCUCCCCUUGCUGGAUCAAGGAGGAGACGUCUCCGGGCUGUACGUGUGUUGAACGCGGAGGCGCCGUCCGUUCGGUGUUAGAUCGGAUCUUCCGCGAUUUGAAUCGCCGCGAGUACGACUCCCUCAUCCACGUUCUUGUAACGCUUCCACAUCGGAUCUUCAAGGGUAUGAAGAUGCACUCCCCUCUCUCUCGUUGCUAGUCUAUCCAUAGAUUGAUCUUGGUGAUGCGUAGAAAUUUUGAAUUUCUGCUACGUUCCCCAGCAUCUACCCCAAACCCUAACUUUGCCCUAGCUAGCCUCUGUCUGCACCUUACUGUCUUUCUGUGCUCGAACGACAGAACAAGGAGGAAGAAGAAGAUAAAAGGGAACACACGGUGGACUCUAGGAGAUUUUCCAGCGCACGAACGCUGCCUUUCUCGAGCAACAAACUCGACCCCAGCACACGUUACAACGAUCACGAAGGCGAUUUUAUACCCGGGCCAGCGCUAGGCAACAACCCGCACGCAUCUACCCACUCCCCCGCAUGGUUCGGCCCGCUCAGCGCGCCCACGACGCGCUCCUGCUCGCGCUCACCACGCUGAGCCCGCAACGGACCGAUGCGAUCACCCCGCCCAGAUCGCUAACUGCAUGACUACGCACACACCCACGUACGGUGUCCACCUACACGGCCACCCCCGUGCACCACACGCAUGCACACACGCACACCUACGCCGCGGACUCGACCCGCCCGACAAGCCCAACUAGUGGCCAUACACGCGCUAGACACGCCCGACCCGUCGCCGCGGCUUAUUCUGGCCAACACUCACCCCUAAGCCGUGACUCAGAGCAGGCCGCCGUCCUCGACGCCGGUGUCCUCCAUCAUCGCGUGCUCCUCCGCUGGCACCUUCCGAAGCUGGGGACACUCUCGCUUGAAGUGGCCGCGCUCGCCACACUUGUAACAGCGGCCGUGCCUGUUGCCACCAUAGCCCACGCCAUGCUCCGCCCUCGUCGUCGUCCCGAGCAGCACCGCUCUUCUGCUCCCGUGCUCGCCACUGCGCCACCAUGUACAUGAGCUAACCGCCCGCCCGCUCGCCGCCCGCCUGUCCACGCCGUCGCAGCCGCUCGUCGAAGGCCUUCGGGCGACCGAGCGCGUCCUCGAACGGCAUGGUGAAGACAUCGCAAAACUGCUCGAUUCCGGCCACCGCCUCGUACAAGUGAUCCGACACAUAAUCGAGGAGCUUCUUCACCAUCGCGGCGUCGUCUAGCAUCGACCCGAGUCCCGCGUAGCACGCUGACAUGCCGCUGAGCUUGCCGGCAAAUCCAUCCAGCGUGUCGCCCUCCGCCAUGCGCAACAUCUCAAACUCCCCUCGGAGAGUGCCCAGCCGCGCCGCCCAGACUCGGUCCGCCCCGACGAACCUCGCCUUCAAGCUAGCCCAGAUUUUCGUCGCCGUCUUCUUGGACGUAACCUGCAGCAGAAGGUCGUCGGCGAGCGCUCGAAGCAGGUACGCCCGCGCCGGCUUGUCUUUCUUGGCGAUCACGGCCGCCGUCGCAUCAUCCACCGGCACCACCGCUUCCCACAACCCAGCAGCAUCCAGGUCGGCCUCCACCUUGAUUGCCCACGUAGUGUAGUUCUCACCAGUGAGCACGGGCACCGGCACAGGCAGCGAGCUCCCCGAACUGCCGGAAUACGGGACGAGCGACAUCUCCGAUGAUCUCCCGCGAACCUGAUGCUCUGAAUACCAAAUGUUGUUGUCUACCCCAAACCCUAACUUUGCCCUAGCAAGCCUCUCUCUGCACCUUACUGUCUCUCUGCGCUCGAACGACAGAACAAGAAAGAAGAAUAAUAUAAAAGGGAACACAUGGUGGACUCUACGAGAUAUUCCAGCGCACGAACGCUGCCUUUCUCGAGCAACAAACUCGACCCCACCGCACGUUACAACGAUCACGAAGGCGAUUUUAUACCCGGGCCAGCGCUGGGCAACAACCCGCACACAUCUACCCACUACCCCGCCUGGUCCGGCCCCCUCAGCGCGCCCACAACGCACCCCCGCUCCCGCUCGCCAGGCUGAGCCCGCAACUAACUGAUGCGAUCACCCCGCCCAGAUCGCUAACUGCAUGACUACGCACACACCCACGUACGGUGUCCACCUACACGGCCACCCCCGUGCACCACACGCACGCACACACGCACACCUACGCCGCGGACUUGACGCGCCCGACAAGCCCAACUCGUGCCCAUACACGCGCUAGACACGCCCGACCCGUCUCCGCGGCUUAUUCUGGCCAACAAAGCUUACUGGAGGUUGAAGAAGACACCAGGUAAACACCUCGUAUCCCUUCCAUCUCCACUCAUGCAAGGGCCCGCUCGCUUGCGCUCGCCUCUGCCUGGCUCGCAAGAAACUGCCAAUCUGAGAGUUACCAGUGAGCCAGGCCCAGAUGUCCUGAGUGAUCUUCAUGAUGUUGCUUGCGGUUCAUACAUUGGAAUGCCAUUGGGAAAACAAAUCUUAUUUAGACUUGCACCAACCAUGGCUGUCCACAAGAACAUCAAACCCCUCGGACAUGUUACAACUGACAAAAACCCUGAUUAUUGUCCACAACUAUUUUACUUUGAACCACAGAUCAAUCACGUUAACUAAUCCGAACCGACAACGUUAAUAUUUGGGAGUCAGAUAGAUACACAGAGAAUAAUCAACAAGACCAAACAGCAGGCCCCGGUUCCACGAGCAGACCGAACGAAUUUCUUCCAUAGCGACCAUUCAUCCAAAGAUAUACCUCAGCUCGUAUCACAGAUGCGACCAGCCUCAAGGCCGGUCCCUCAUAUGCAUCAGGAAUCAUUCACAGCAGUAGAACAGGUUUGCGCGCAAUCUGUUCAAACCAUGGUCACCUCAGGCAAAUCAGUGUUCAGAAGCACGAUCGAUUAGCGGCCCGUUUUCGCGCGUUUCAUCCCGGUGGAGUUGAAGGGUGACACACUGGGACUGAGAUGUGGGCCUGGGCUUGGGCUUUCCUCCCUUAGAGUUCCAUUCAGUAUUGCCAAUUCUCUCAGCUGUUGCUUCUUGAAGUAAUCCAUGGAUUCAUCCUGGUGAUAUGUAAUACCGUUAGCGGGAGAGGUAAUGCCGACUUAAUUCAAAGAAAAAAUGAGGUCAUGGAAAAGUGGGAACUGGGACAGAUAAGAUGGAGAGGGACAUACUACUGGUUUGAGAAGAUCUUCCAGUAUGACCACAGCCUGGUUUAGUCGCACAUCAACAAUAUCCGCCGGGAACUCAGCUUCGAUAAGCACAUGCAGUGGUUCGUUUAAGUGCUCAUAGCCAGGCUUAUCUCUAAGCUUGUUUUCCUAUUCAAUAAAAAAAAAUCGGCUUUUCAGAACCUCUCCAAUAAUAUUUUUGGUAGUCACUGGAUGAGAGGAAUUGUUAAACACAAGAGUUAACUCUAUUAAGCAUGCUUACAAAAAUAUACUAGAUUUUAGUGACUAGUAGUUGUCUUGUUUAUGCACGGGCCAACUGAAAAAACAUGAAUGCAUGUUUUCAAAAGGAAUGACACUGAAAUAAGUUGUGAAAAACAAUCAACACUCCAUACUAUCCGGGCAACAACAUGAGAAUAUAGGUAAGAUGAAUAUAAUGAAUACACCACAUUUUAACUGACAGCUCUACUAAAAGGGGUGAGAUACAACUGGCGAGCAAACUUAGUCUAUGGAACCUAGAAGGUUUGUUUGGACUUUCUGCACUGUCUGUGGGUAAAUUACUAGUAGAAUUUUCAUGUUAACAAGACAUGGCUUGAAGCUUACGAUGCUAUAACAUAACAAAUAACUGAGUAGAACUGGAACCGUUCUUUUACUUCAAUCAAUACAAAUGCCGCCCAUUACUAGCUCAACAUCUAUCAGCCUUUUACUGUGUAAGGCAUAUUGUACUUUUAAAAACAUAGAGUUUGCCCGCCAAAAAAAUACAUGGGAGUUUUACAUCGAUCAGAAGAAUUCAGGAUCAACCUUCAGUUUUACUUUCAUAUCCAAUUUAAUUAACAAAUAACAACCAUACAUACUAUAUCUAUAUUUUAACGUGCAAAAUAAGUACUGUAACAGAACACGGUCCUAAAACGUCUCUAGGAAAAAGGUGGUGCUAGAACAUUCUAAGCGUGUGAGUAAGCAACAAUGGAAUGGUGGUUCUAAUCUGUGUUUAAUUUACCUUCACAGUAUCUUUCACUGAACCACGUCCACGAAUAUAGACUCUACAUUGUGUUGUAGCUUCAACUCUUUUCAGAGAGUUUCCUCGUGGCCCCAACAAACGACCAACAAAGUUGAACUAGUCAUAACAAAAAAUUGUAGAUGAUUUGAAUUUAGCAAAUCUCGUAAUCAAGUUUAAUAGUUUAUCAAAACAGCUUGAGGUGAAAGUACGUCGUACAUACAUUUGGAUACUUUUCUGCUGGAACAUCCAUCCUGACAAGUUUCUUCACAACAGGGCCGCCAACAACUCCAGGACCACCAUUCCAGCCCAUGGAUGGUGAAUGGUGUAUCCCCAUAUGCUGAAGAAAGGCAUUUUAAUAUAAUCAAUGAAAAGAAAUAAUAUGAAAGUGUUUCUAUUUUGGCAUUGAAGAUGACCACUGUUGCACAUUAAUUAUUACUCCCUCCGUCCCAGAAUAUAAGAGCGUUUUUACACUACACUAGUGUCAAAAAUGCUCUUAUAUUAUGGGACGGAGGGAGUACAUGAUAAGAACAAGUUAUACAAGUCUCUUAGUUGUAAUAUCAGGAAAACGAUAUGAACAGAGUCCAUAUAUCCACACCACUUCCUUAACAAAACCCAGGUUAAUUCUUUACUGUAUUGUCAAAUUACGAUUUUUAUGGGUGAAUGAAAUUGCUGACUAGUCGAACGAUCGGUUACAAGAACGACUGGAUGAGGUUUACCUGGUGUCAAGCUUCUAUCAUUUACAUAUUAUCUUCUAUAUCUAAAUAGUUAGUCCCCACUGACAUUCUCUCAACAUGCAAGCAUGCCACCUCACCAUUCAACGAGCAUGGGAAAAUGCCCACCUCAACAUGCAACUAUGCAUAAUAAAAAUCCACCUCAACAUGCAAACAUGCAUGCAUGGAAUUUUUAAUUCCAUUCUAUUAUGCUAUUUACAUUUAAUUCUUAUAUUCGUUCAAAAACUAUCAUUUCAAAUAUUCAUGUUCCAUAUAACCAAAACCUCAUUGAAAUAUUGCAAAACAUUCCCGCAACAACGUGCGGGGCAUCAUGCCAUCAUCUAGUUCUCCUUAUGGGUAGAACCAGUGGUUCCUAAAUCCUAAUCAUUAAUCUCGGAGGAAUAAUUUUGAGAUCCAAGGCUUGGAUGAAAAUCACCAUUGAACUAGCAAGAACAUUGUCAUUUUCUCAAAAGGAAAAAGCCAAAACAUGCCAUUCUUGAAUUAUUCAUAGCUAUUAACAUCUGUACUGUAACAGUGGCUGUAACUUGAUUGGUGCUUUUGAAACCAUUCCUAUUAGUAUCACAACGUAUAGCUUUCCUUUUUUCCGUUUCAUGUUAAUGAGCUGGACAGCUGACUGAGACUCGGUCCUAUACUGGUUCAUUGGUCCCUGCGAAUUACUAAACAGCUUCAAGGAUAACAUGAACUAGUUGGCAGCACUGGUAGAGAUUUGCAUAGUUGAAAUAUCCAUAUUAGAAAAAGAAAAAAAAGAGAGCAGGGAAGGUAGAUAUAAUCAUGCCAGCAUUUCUCUAACAGCUAUAUAGAACGUUAAGGCAGUUAGGACUUGUAAAACCAAUAAUCAGAAGAUUGUAUGAAUUUGCACAACCUCUGCAUGCAUUCCAGUCCAUCCCUCCAUAUCCAUUGGUUGACCGUUCAUAGGGUGGCCAGCUAAUCUUAACGGGCUACCAUAAUCGAAUCUCUCAGGUUCAACAAAAUUUGGGUUAGGUGGCAAAGAAGAUGCCCGCAGAAUUUCUGCAUUGAAGAAAACAAGCCAGUACGAAAUCCGUUAGUUCUAUUUGUGUCACUUUAAAUCAGGGAGAAAAUGUCCAUGCUAUGUUUAUAUCUAUAACCUGGAACUACAACUGGAUGUUAGAAUUUAGAAAUCGCCACUCAAGCAAUAUAAUGGUUAAAUUAUAAUAAAGAAGUGAAAAGUAAGCAUAUUAACUGAAAGAUAUGACUGAGGAACUUAAGGGUGUUAGACUGUCUGGUAUUCUUGUUUCGUCAACGAGUUAGUUCUGCAUGUUAUACAAUCUCUGGCGGCAAUUUAUGUGAUUUACAUGGAUGCCAUCAUUGGGGAUUUCAAAGUAACGGUAUGGUGGAACAAGACAAGAUAAUACAUUCUGAAAAGAAAUUAUCAUGAGCAGCUUUUCAUAUAAAAAGAACGGACAUGAUUGUUCAAAGAAGAAUAGCAAUUUCUUUUGGCAAAAAGCGAGGAUGGGUAAGAAUACCAACUGGAUGAAUGUAAAACUCUAAUAGCAACUAGAAUCUGGGGUUAUUGGGAACUACAUAAACAAAUAGCUUCGAUGUAAUUUGAAAAAGAAAAAAGAGAGAGAGAAGGGAAUAGACCUUGGUUUAAAAGCCUGUUACAAAAUGGAAGAACUUGCAGGAAAGGAACUAGCUUCUGCCUCUCGGCAAGUAACUCAGCAAUAUACCUACGAAGCAAAUAAUCUCAUUAGUAAGAUCAGCUGCAAGUACCACAGGCACAUAUUUACUUAAGAACAGAAAAUAAGAAUAGCACCAAUAAUUAGCGACCUAAUCAAAAGUCACAACAAUGAGCACCCUGCAAAUGAACUUCACACUAUCAGAGGCCAAUCGAGGACAUCGUGCUCAUUUAUUCGUAAUAGCAAGCACAAAUCUAGCAUUAGAAGGCAAUCCCCAAAUCCUCAACUUGGGAGAUCACUACAGCGUGGGGACAUCAUUUGACCGUCACCAGAAUCACACCGGGAUGGUCCAGAUUAGGCACAAAUCUCGCACGACCAGAGUCAAAUCUCACGCCCACGACGAGUUUUUCAAGCUAGCAGGAUCGGCGCGAAGAUAAAAACGAAAACUUCACAGCAGUUCACAAGAGGAGGAGGGGCACAGACCUCUCCCUCUCGGAGGCAGACGACCUGAUGGGGUUGUGGUGGUGAGGGGAAGAAUGGACGCCAGACGGCGAGUACUGGAAGAAAGGGGGCGGCGGGAUCCUCUCAUCCAUGGCUCCCAGCAUGGAACAAGAAACCAAAGAAGAGCUCCGCAAGAUUGCAAUCUCCGGGCAAGACAGGGAGCCCAGGGAGCCAAGAAAUCUGGAGAACGGAGGAAGAGGAACAGCUGGUAGCUAUCAAAGCAAAUGAAUGUGGUGGAGGCCCUAUAUGGAAUCCAAUGAAAUCUGGAAAAGACAGGAAGGUGCCAAGAACCGAGAAAUAAGUGUAGGGAUGAGUGGGGAUUUGAUGAUUAUAUAUGCUAUAGAUUAAACAAAAAGGGGAGGUGAUAGCUGGGUUUGCGUCAAUCAAUUAUCAGAGCCCAGGCUGUGCGGGGCUGGCAGCAGCAGCAGCAGCGCUUUGUGGCUGCCUGCCUGCCCGCUCGCUCCUGCUGUUCUUGCUCGCUAUUCCUCCUCCCUGUACUGCAGCGUCGCACGCACCCUGUGGACAGAGGGGGUGGGUGACCGGUGAGAGGGAGGAAGAGACAAGCCGAAGGCCUUGGAUGCUCGCUCACUGCUCUAUGCAGUUGUGGAGGGAAUUGCACAAACCACCACUUAUUGGGGCUAGCGUUGCACAAAACACCUACUAUACGGGUUUGUUGCGAAAAACACCAUCUUUUGGUGUAAUACAUUGCAGAUAGGUCUAAUCUGGUGUUUGAACACAUUAACAUAAUUACAGACAAAUGGGUCCCGCUUGUAAGUGCACGCGUGGCAAUAAAAACCGGCCACAUCAGCAACAAACCUGAAAAGAACCCAAGGUUUCAUGGUCUUUUCUUUUGUCUGCAUGCGCAAAUCGAAGGGUUUAAGAAUGGAUUUUGGCCUUUCAUUGGUAAAUAUCUCACCUCUUUACUCUAUUGUUUAAUAUUUCUCGCCUUUGUCAAUUGCAUUUAUCCAUAUUUUGUACUAUGUACAGGGAUUGAUGGAUGUUUUCUUAAGUUGGGUAAUGGAGCACAAGUGCUUGCCGCCACAGCUCGAGAUGGCAAUAAUAAUUUUUAUCCACUCGCAUUCGAUGUCGUUGGAACAGAAGAUACUGCUACAUGGUCAUGGUUUCUCAAUCAACUCAAGUAUGCACUAGGUGGUUAUGCAGGUCAGUUUAGGAAUGCAACGAUAUGAAGACAGCAGAUUGUUUUCCUACUUCACUCUAGGUCUAGGGUACCAACCUCGUCAAGAAUGAAUGGCGUAUAGUAGUUUCUAAUGGCCAUGUUGCGACUUUGCAAGUGCUUGGAUGUUUAAACCUGAUGGAUGUACCUUUUGGUGUAUGAGACUAGUCAUAUUAUUUUGCGAUGGUUAUAAUGCCGAGGCCUCUUGUAAUGCCCAUAAGGUAACUACUUUGCUGUAAUGGUCAUAUGUCAACUACUUGGAUGCUAAAAUCUAAUGGAAACAAUAUCUACCAUAUUUUUGUGUUGGUGGUCUCAUGCCGAACUUGCUUCAUUUAGAUGUGGGUUCAAAAUUUAACAAUUCUAGAGAAGUGUGAAAAAAUUAUAGUAAUUUACACAUGUGUAAAGUACCAUUCUGAAAAAGUUUUACCCCAUUUGGAUUAAUGGUUUGCUACAUAAUGGAAGUUUUAGUUAGCCCAUUCAAUUUUUUUGUUAAAAAUUUGGCAUUUUCAGAAAAAUAUGAAAUAAUUUCAGUAAAUACUGCAUGUAUUCAAUAGUAAUCUAGGAAAGUUUUGGCUCAAUUGGACCACAUGUUUUGGAGAUAAUGACAGUCCAAUAUGUUGCUGAUGUGGCCGGUUUUUAUUGCCACGCGUGCACUUACAAGCGGGGCCCAUUUGUCUGUAAUUAUGUUAAUGUGUUCAAACACCAGAUUAGACCUAUUUGCAAUGUAUUACACCAAUAGGUGGUGUUUUUCGCAACAAACCCGUAUAGUAGGUGUUUUGCGCAACGCUAGCCCCAAUAAGUGGUGGUUUGUGCAAUUCCCUCUGCAGCUGUGUGUCUCAUCGGUUUCUGAACUUCGGGUUACUCACUGCUUCUGUAGCUCUCCUUUUCUCGUGUUUAUUAUUUUUUCUUUUGGCAGAUAUUGUCAUUUCCGUCAAUUAUAUUUGAAAAAGAAGAUGCUUGUGCUACCCCUCGCUUCCAAGUCAACGAUACGGAAACACUCCAUUUUUUUUGAAGCUGGAAACACUCCAUUUGGACACCUUGAUCGGACGGCUAUUAUCGCUGAGUCAGAAAAAAUAAUUGACUGUUUUUGGCCAAGGCUCAUUUAUCCAUCCGGUCAACGGUGUUCCACAUUCCAAAAUCUCAAAUCCAUAUAAAAUCAUGCGCGUAGAUCAUUUAACGAUACAUAUAGAACAAAUCAAUGAAAAAAACACAAAACAAUUCAACAAUAAAUAGUUCAGACCAAAAAAAUACUAUGUAAUUCAUAAACAUUAUUGAAAGUAUAUAAUUCAAACAAAAAGUUCAUAGGACAUCACAAAUCUAAUGUUUAUCAGCAUGAACCCACAUAUACUUCACAAGACCAUUGAGUCAAAGGAUUGAAUGAUAUGAAUCACUCAAUUACGACAUCAUGAAUCGUGCAAUGCAAAAGGAUGUGAAUAUCUUGAUCGGACCACUAUUGUCACCGAGCUAGAAAUAACUAUUUCUAAUUCAACUAAGUAAUAAUCACUCACGAAAGUAAUAACAUACUUUAAGCUGAGGAAUGACAUAAAACUAGAGACUAAAACACCAUUUUAAAGAAAGGUUUUAUGUUUUACUAGCUAGCACCAUGAAGUGGUCGGCCAACCUGCUAAGGGUUGGAGCCUCAUUUCUACCUUAAUUUUGGUUGGCCAACCUACUAGGGUUCGAGCCUCAUUUCUACAUUAAAUAUGGUGCCUAGUCCUCCUAGAAUCAAAUUGUUUUUUAAUAUACAUUUUUAGCUGAUAGUCCAGCAAUAAAUAUAUUUACACCAAUUAACUUGACGUGAGUGGGCUCUCAAAAUGCAACAAAUCAAAGUGGUUUAUCACCCAUGACAUGGCGCAGAGGUGGACCUAGAAUAAAAAUGAUAGGGGUACACCACCGUAGAAAAUUUGCAUCAACGAACUUGAGCAUCAGGCGUCACAUGCAUAUCAAGAAUAGGUUAUGUCAAGAGGAAAUUAGAAGGUACCCGAUGUCCCGUGCACCUGUAGAUUUACUAUAGGACCGCCCCUAACAAAGUGUUGAUAAUGAUCGCCUCAAGCAUUGAGGCUGGCCUAAUUGCAUGGUUUGUUCUCUGUGCAGGGUAGUGUCAGAAUCUGUGGUGCAUCAUUGUUAUCUAAUGCUAAAAGGACCUAGAUUUCAUACAAAGAGGGUGAAUGUGUGAUUUACAAAAUCUUACGAAUUUGGCUCAAUCUUAAUGUGGAAUUUUACUAGGCGAAUCUUAUCUAGCCUAAAUCAUAAAUAUGUUAGGAUCAACUAAGUGCACCAAUAAUACAUGUUGAACAAUAUGCAAAAUUAAAGGAAACUAGCUAGCAAUUCAAACUCUACACCAGACAUGUCAUAAUAGCAAAUGUGAAUUGUGGAAUGUAAUGGGGACAAGAGAUAACUAAUGUAUUUUUCGAGUUUGAAUGUCCAUCAAUAUUCUACUCUCCAUACCGAUACAUGCGAAUUCUCCUUGAGUCACUAUCCUCUCGAGGGAUUGGCACUCGAUCCACUAUGGCUAGCUUCUUCCUCCACUCUGUCAAGCUCCAUAACAACUAAACAACACAACUCAAGCCUAUUAAAAAACUCCAUGAAGAGAUCACUGAACCAAUGCCCCCGACUCUCUAGGAGUUGGUUACCUCUAAAGGUAACAAGCUCUCAAACUCUCACGCGAACCAAUGGACACAAACAUCUCAACUAACGAAAAAAAAGAA
rnacentral:lncRNA from 1 species